AGAACCUAAACAAUGUCCAACUUCACAUAGCAUAUCAUUAAGAGUACAUAGCAUCAUAAUUUAGCAAUAGAGACUAAAAACAUGUUCAUAAGUAGCAAUAGAGACCAAACACAUGUUCAUAAGUAAAACAAACAUCAUAUAGUAUCAUCAACAUGUAAAAUCAUCAUGUACAAUAAUUUACAUUCAUAAGCUUAUACAUAUAUAAAAAAAAUCCCUCUAAAACUUUCAUCAAGGCCAACUAGUGCAAUGUAUAGGUAGAGUCCCAUACCCCUACCUAGACUAAGCUAUAUCCAUUAGGUUACCCUAGUUAGAGUUAAUUUGUUUAGUUCAUUUUACAUUUUGGGAACAUAUUGCCUUAAAAACAUAGACCACAUGAGCUAAUGGGGAAUCUGGAGACAUGGAACGCUACAUUGAAGGAAGGCGGACUACUUGCCAAGGUAGUACCAAAACAUGAACAUAGAAUCUAGGUGGAUCCACUAGCUAAUAUUCCUAUGGGGGCAAUAAAGUUAAAUAACUAGGACAUGUAGUUGGGACCCUCUUUAUGCUACAUGCAUUUUAGUCUCCAAUGUCAUGAGUACAUUAGUGAUCCUAACUUCCUUAUGUGGGAAGGGACACUCCUCACUCUAGUUCACUCGGUGCAAAGCUUGACUCCCUUUUUUCAAAUAUCUUUAAUGCCUUUAUUAAUCAUCAUAGAUUAACGUACUUCAUAGGGUCUAUCUCUUAUAUAAUCAUCAUCAUCAUAGCUCAAUAAGAAUUGCAUGAGUUUUGUCCAUUCAGUACAAUUCUUAUAUAUGAGGUUAUCACAUUACAUAACCACAUCAUAAUAAGGUACAUUGGUAAGUUGUCAACAUCCUUAUAACAUUAAAAUCUUAGCCAACAACUCCAAAUUGAUAGUUCAAGACAUUUGAACUCAACAUCAUACCAAUCCUAUCAAUCUUCACAUAAGGUAUACUUCAAUACAAUAUCAUCACUUAAUCACAAGUAGCCAAAAUUGAAGUAAAGAAUAGAGAUCACAAGACUUAAUAAUCUCCUUCACAAUGCCAUCAUCAAGGUAUUACCAUCAAACCACAAAUUAAAAACAACAUUGGGUGUAAUAUAAUUAGACAAUAAUAACCAUCAUCAUAUUGAAGUCAACUAAAUCAUUAAACAAUAAUUCUUUACUAGUUCAUAGCCUAGAAUUAGAGACUUAGAUCAAAUUCAUAAUCUACUUCACGGCCUCGGUCAAAUACUUAAGAACUAGCAUAAUUAGAUUACAAUAUAUCAAAAUAUACUCAUAAAUUAGCAUGAAAAUAACAUAGGAUAGUAAUUCAGACAGUAACUAAACCAAUUGUAUCAAUACUAUAUAGUUCAAUGAAAGAUCACAACUUGGGGUUAAGGGGAAAUGAUCAUCUUCCACAAACAAGGUUAAAUUAUCAAGAAUUAGUAUUAUGUAAUCAUAAUACACGUUAAUUUACACAUAAUAAUCUAAAUAUAUACUAAACAAAGCAAUUCACAAGAUCAAUUUUGUAUUGAAAGAAAACCCACUUGAAUUUCAUACUUUUGAAAUCAAUUUGGAGGAUCCCUUUAGGUAAAGAAAUACCAAAUGUUAAUGAAAUCCUAUACCUUACUAAUUGAUGAAGUUUGAUUGAAAAAAUUCAUCCUUUUCAGAACUAGAACCCUUCUUUGUUAUGUCUUGAAUGGGGCUUCUUUGGGAGAUAGAAAUUAAAGAGAAGUAGGAACAAUUUUGGUUUGGGAAAUUAUGAGGGUUAGGUUAGUUUAAUUAGGUUAUGUUUUUUAUAUAGGUCAUUGAAUAACUUAAUUAGACGUCCAUUAAACCUUAACUUAUUAACUAACCACCUUAUUAAUUAAUUUAACUAACCUUAAAAUGUGCAACAAAAAUAGUCUUGACAGAUGAGACCACGACCAAAGGCCUGUUUGUUAAGCAACGGGCACUGUUCAGGUCCGUCCUGUGCAGUCGCCAUUUUUCUCGGAUAGUGUCUAAAAUGAAUUCUCCAUAAAUUGGAUAAGUUUUCAUCGACGGUGGACAUUGACUCCUCGUCGAUUGGACCACGAGCCAUCGACUGCAAUCUGUCAUUGGACAUUGCCUUUUUGCAUCUUUUGCCAAAUUGCAUGGGUCCUCUUCAAGGGCCCUUAGUUGUUCCUUGAGGAUUUUUACUAAGACUUUUUACUAUAAACUAACUCUAAUACGUGUUCGACACCUUACCACCAAAUUUCAUCAUCUUACCGACUGUAAAAACAUAGUCAAAUAGGCUAAGGCACAGUAGCACCUCUUGAACUAGUUUCCUGACGUCAUGGACGUUCCUUGAUGUUUUGAUUCCAAAACUUCUUAAAUGACUUGUAUACAUAAUAAUUGACUUAAGAAAAUCUUAAAACUUUUAGACUCUCAUGUUAGGCUUUAGAUUAGGCUUUAUACUUUCGAAGUAUUACAUUAUCCCCCUUUUAGGAAGAUUCGUACACGAAUCACACUAAAAUUCUUUAGAUGGAAGUAAUACACAAAAGAAUAGAAGCCCAACAAACAACAUAUAAACACAUGAGUUACAGUCAAAAUUGACAUAACCUUAUAACCCUUUUCACAAUGCAAUAAAAAACAUCAUUUUUAACUCAUAAAAGUUCAACAUUCAUUUCAUGCUUAUUCAUUAUGCGAGGGCUUUCUUCAACACAUGCCAACAUGCUCAAUACAAUUCAUCAAAUCACAAUAUAAAAAAAAUGCACAACAUAACUCAAAACAAGUAAAAAAACAACAUUUUCAUUUUUAGGCAUAAAGAUUAUUCUGAUUCACUAUAACAUGCAGUUUUUGUACAACUUCACUAAAAUCAAGGCAAUUGCAAAUAAACUCUUUAUUUUUACUACAAGUAGGAAUAACUAACCUUAGUUGUCAAAUAGAUGAAGGUAACCGGACUUCAUGUCGGCCUCCUCCUCCCAUGUUGCACCCUUAAUUAGGUUAUUCUUCCACAACACCUUUACAAAAGCCACCUUGUUUCUUAACUUCUUUACUUGUCUAUCAAGUAUUUCAACAGGAACUUCGUCAUCAUAGAGGUUCUCUUGAACACCUACACCUUCAAUGGAAUGGACUCCAGAUCACCGAUGCACUUAUUAAGCAUGGAACAUGGAACACCGGAUGAACCGAAGUCAAUUAACUAGGCAACUUCAAAUUAUACGCACCCUUACCAACCUUUUGCAAAAUUUCAUAGGGACCCAUAUACCGAGGAUUCAACUUCCCUUUCUUCCCAAAUCUUACCACCCCUUGCAUAGAAAUUUUUUUUAGAUACACUUUAUCACCUUCUUCAAACUCUAAUACCCUUCUCCUGUAGUCGGCAUAAGACUUUUUCCAGCUAUAGUCUGUUUCUAAACAAUCCCUUAUAAUAUGAACCUUCUCCAAAGUCUAAUAAAUCAAAUUGGGACCGAAAAGUGAAGACUCGCCCACAUUAAACCAUCCAAUUGGAGAUCCACAUAUCCUACCAUACAAGCUUUCAUAAGGAGACAUAGAUAUAUAUGAGUGUUAACCAUUGUUUUAAGCAAAGCAAACUCAACCAAAGGCAGGUGUUUACUCAAAUUUCCCUUGAAAUCAAUUAAGGGUUUGAAUAGUCCGUUCUGCUUGACCAUCCAUUUGGUAAUUAAAUAUGGUUCUUAACUUCACCUUGGUACCCAACCCUUUUACGAAUGCCCUCCAAAACCUCGAUGUGAAUUCUGCACCCCUAUCCGAUAUGAUGGAUAAUUAAAUACCAUGGCUACACAUAAUAUCAUCUAGGAAGAUACGUGCAUUAUCCUCCACCGAGUAAGUAGACUUGACGGGAAUACAUUAAGCGGAUUUGGUCAACCUAUCCAUAACCACACAUAUGGAUUCAUAUUGCUUUUGUGUCCGAGGAAAACCUACAACAAAAUCCAUAUUAAUGUCUUCCCAAUUCCAAGUAGGUACUUUGAUUUCUUGAACUAAACAACUCGGCUUUUGGUGUUCGACUUUCACUUGUUGGUAAUUUGGAUACUAUGCAACAAAUUACACUAUGUCCUUAUUUAGGUUUUUCCACCAAAACACUUCGCUACGAUCAUGAUAAUUCUUUGUAGAACCCGGAUGAAUGGAGUAACAGGAAGAAUGAGCUUCGUUAAGAAUUCGAUCCUCAAACCAUCUAUAUUGGGAAAACACAACCUUCCUUGAUACCUCAAGACACCCCCUCCUAAGGAGAAUGACUCAUUUAACUUAGCUAGCACCGAAUCCUUCAACCACCAAAGACGACUUGGAGUUAUUAUGAACCAUAAAACCAUCAUUUGGAGAAUUUUCCAAUCUAACACCCGAUGUAGCCAACCUAUGAGCAUCUUUCACUAGGUUUUUCUUGGAUUCGUAUAUAUGAGAUACACUACCCAUGCUCAUACAACUUAUAUCAUCCGCAGCCAUAUUGGCCUUGCCAGUGUGGUAGAGAAUCUCAUGUCAUAAUCUUUCAACAAUUCCAACCACUUUCCUUGUCGGAGAUUUAACUCCUUUGAGUAAACAUAUAUUGAAGACUCUUGUGGUAAAUAUACAUAUCAACAUGAAUACCAUACAAGUAAUGCCUUUAUAUUAUCAAGGAAAAUAUGACGGCCACUAAUUCAAUAUCAUGAGUUUGAUAGUUCUUCUCAUAAACCUUAAGUUUCCUACAAGCAUAGUCUACUACUUUUCCAUGUUGCAUAAGCACAGACCUUAAGCCCACUCGAGAUGCAUCACAAACUAGUUGAAAUCAUUAAGAAGUAGUAUAAUUUUUGUCAAUAUACUCAUAGAAACCAAAAUAAAUAAUAAAAAAGCAUUUCACAAGAUUAAUUCCGCAUAGGAAGAAAACUCACUUGAAUUUCAUACUUUAGAAAUAAAUUUGGAGGUGCCCUUUGGGGAAAGAGAUCCAAAAGGUGAAAAGAAUACCAUACCUUACUAAUUGAUGAAUUUUGAUCGAUAAAAUUGAUCAUUUUCAUCCCUAUAACCCAUCCUUUAUAAGUGUUCAAUGGGUUUUCUUUGGGAGAGAGAAAGAAGAGAGAAGGAUGAGCAAUUUGGGUUUUCAAAAUUAUGAGGGUUAUGUUAGUUUAAUUAGGUUAGGUUCGUUAUAUAGGUCAUUAACUAACUUAAUUAUACCUCCCGUAACCCCUAAAUAAUUAUUAUCCACCUAAUUAAUUAAUUUAACUAACCAUAAAAUGUGAAGCAAAACACUCUUGACAGAAAAGACCACGACCAACGACCCGUUUGUCAAACGAUAAGCAUUGUUCACGUCUUUCCUGUGUAGUCUUUGUUUUGGUCAGAGUGUGUCAAGAAUGACUUCCCACGAAAUUGUUUAAGUAUCCAUCAAUGGUGGACAUCGACACCCCCUCUAUUGGACCACAUGCUGUUGCAUGUAAUCCGUUGUUGGACACUGCCUUUUGGGAGUUUUUUCGAAAUUGCAAGGGUCCUCCUCAAGGGCCCUUGGUGGGUCCUUGGGGAGUCCUACUCGGAAAUUUUGACUUUAAACUAACUCUAAUACGUGUUAGAAACCUUAACACCAAUUUUAUCAUUUUUCGACUCUUAAUACUUAGUCAAAAAGGCUAACCACCUGUUGAACUAGUUUCCAGGCAUCAUGGAUAUUCCUUGACGUUUUGAUUCUAAAAAUCCUUAAAUGACUUAGAUAAAUUAUAAUUGACCUAAAAAAAGUUACAACUCUUUGACUCUCCUGUUAGGCUCUAUAUUAGGCUUUAUACAUUCGGAGUAUUACAUCUUAAUUGCUUCAAUCUUUUGGGUAUCGGUUCUAAUUCCAUGGUUCAAGAAUGCCACAAACUUUAGCAAAAACUCACACUUGGAGACUUGACAUAUAACUCCUUAUCUUUCAAAGUAUGCAAAACAAUCAUGAGGUCACUAGCAUGAUCUUCUUUGUUCCUUGAAUAAGCGAGCAUGUCAUCAAUGAAGAUGAUAAAAAAAGAUUUGAAUAAAGUUUGAAGACUAGGUUCAUAAGAUCCAUGAAAGAUGAAGUCUCAUUGGUCAAAUAAAUAGACAUAACAAAAAACUCAUAAUGCCCAUAUCUUGUUCUAAAAGUUGUCUUUGGAAUAUCACAUUUCCUAACUUUUAACUAAUGAUAGCCAGAUUUGAGAUCAGUGUUCGAUAAACCGGAAGCACCUUUAAGCUGGUCUAAAUUAUCAUCUAUCCUUGGAAGAGAAUAUUUAUUAUUGAUGGUCACCUUAUUCAAUUGGAUGUAGGGUAUACACAUCCUAAGGAAACCAUUCUUCUCUCUUACAAAUACGACCGCAACUCCCCUAGGUGAGACACUUGAUCGAAUGAAUCACUUGUCAAACAAAUUUUUGAGUUAUUCUUUUAGCUCUUUUAACUUUUAUGGUGUCAUUUUGUUUAGCGGAAUAUAUAUAAUAUGAGUAUAUAGGAUGAUGUUUAUGCAGAAGUCUAUCUCUGAUUCAGGAGGAACUCCAGGGAGAUCAUCAAGAAAGACUUCUGAAAACUCUUUAACUAUUGGAACAGACUAAAGGGAAGGUAUAUCAGCACUUGAGUCAUUAAAUCGAACUAAGUGAUGGAUACGCCCCUUUGAAACUAACUUUCUCUUCUUAAGGUACAAAAUAAAUUGAUCCUUACUGUAACGACCAAUAAGUACACCCUAGAAAUUAGAGCAUCCUUGAGUCUCCAUACGGAAAAUAAGACAAGUCUCACUAAUGUCACUCUUAUCAUUCAUUCCAUAAAAAAUAUUAUAAAGUGACUAAUAAUUUAAAACUUCACACACAAAGAACUCUUUCCAUAAGCAAUACGCAAGAGGAAGACUUUCCUUAAAGUAUUAAACCUUUACAACAUCUCAUUGAACCAUCUAAUCUUUGGGUAUACAACACUUGGGACUAACCCCAUACAUGACAUAAAAUGAGACUAAAACAUGAAGGACAUGGGGAUAUUGUCCUCGAAUCUAUGAUGACUCACAAAUACUUCAUCUCCAACCUUUAGAAACCUAUCGAUCCUCCAUGGAAUAUCAACACUUCUAAUUCCCUACACUUUAAUCAAAAAGGUAAAAGAAGGGGUUAGCACAUUAGAUGAACUAAGUAUGGAAGCCAUGCAAAAAAACAUGAAAAAUGGAUAUUUAAUAAAUAGCAUGCUUUUCAUGAAUUUUGAUUAAUACAGCAUACUAAAAGCAUACUAAAAACAUUUAACACCUUAGAAACACAUAAGAAAUCCUUUAAGCAAUUUAUCAGAUUUUUAAGAAACACUUUACAGUGAACUAAUUCACUAUUACAGUGAAGUUCCUUAACUUCACCUUAGAUACUUUCUAGCAUGUAAUUCUCUCACUAAAAGCUAUCCCAAGACUCACUUAAGAGAUACAAAAAGAGACCGCCCAUAAACCCUCUCUAGGCGAACCUAAAUGAUCCUUAAGACCACCUAUAAUGAGAUAUACACACUUACAAUACAUCAACCACAUAGACAUGAGAUCCUCUUACCAAAGGUGAUUCUAAGGCUCUCUUGAGUGGGUUAUGAAGUGACCACCAAUACAAUCCCUUUCACACACACUUAAGAGAUUCUUUAGACUACAAAGGAUAAGAUCAUUCACACUUAAAACAAUAGCCCUCAUAGAAUAUGAUAUUCUCCUUUCAAAGGUUAUCAAAAGACCUACUCAAGUAAAUCAAGAAGAGAAUUCCCAUACUUGACCUCUUCAAUAGUACAUAAAUAAUCCUUAAGAAUACCUAAGUAUUUAUCAUGUCUACAUAAUCAACCAUUUGUCCUAACUAGAGUCAUUCUUAAGACUUAUCUUGGUAAGAGAUGAAGUGACCAUUCCUAUGCCCCCUUCAUACCUUAACUAGACAACCCUUAAAAAACUCUAUAUAAGUACUUAUUCAUUAAACAUGCUUUAUUGACUUAAUUCAUUACAUUCCUUAGUUCAUUUAAAACUCAUUCAUAAAAUAAAGUACAUUCAAGUAAUGGUCUUGGAGAAGACCUAGAGACUCUUACUAACAUCUUCAAAUUCUAUUGUGAAAUGUCUAGAUAGAGUCUGAUACCACGACCUAAACUUCAUAGAACUUCUCCAACACUAGUAGGUACCACAUGAUGAAAAUAGGAAAUAACUUACAUUGACCAAGGUAGCAAAUCAUGGAAUCCAUAGUUGUAACCUACUCCGAUGAGGGUGUUCUACUUGCCAAUGGUAGAACUUGGACACAUCCCAUGUAGGUAGAUGGUUAAAAAUAUGAAGGGCUUUCUUUAUACACUAGAUUCAAUCUUAACUAGAGCUACUUCCCUUACCAUACUCACUUGGUGUUAGCCUCUGCUCUCAUAGAGUGUUAUUAAAGGUUCAUACUAAGGGUUCAUAUCUUAUUCAUAGCCCAUUCACAUUCACCCUACCAAAGAUGUAUCCUAUGGAUAUCUUACAAUGGAGAAAAAUAUAUCUCAUCAUAACUUUCCUAAGUAAUAUAUAAUGUUGUUCCUGCCAAUCAAACUUAAGUCUAUAAUUCAUGACAAGAAGGAUACCAUUACGACUUUCGACUUCAAUGUUCAUAACCUUACCACUUGGUUAAAGGUUUCACAUAAAGGACCUUAUUAACAUCAUUCAAGGUCUCAUGUCGUUCAUACAUUCAAGACUAAGAGACUUUAGAAUCCUAAAUCAAGGCAGAUCAUAUUCACAUUCAUCAGGAAGAGGAACUUAUGUCUACAUAAUCAAGACUCUACUUUCUCAUAACACAUAUAAGAAUUCAUCAUAACUACCUUAGUCAUAAAUGUCCAUUUAAGAGUACAACAUGUUACGCUUAACAAAUUCAUAUACAACUUCAUCAUAUAUCAUCACAUAAGAAGAAUCAUAACAUAAUCGCUCACAUAAGAUCAUACAAAAACUAUAAGGUACUUUACUGUUAACCUUCACAAAUAGAACAUAAUAUCUAUCUGUAACGACCUGUUUAGUCGUUUUGAGCAGCAGAUUUUAUUUCUGGAAAAACUGUCUUGUUCGACGGAUCCCACGACGGACCGUCAUGGGCACGACGGACCGUCGAGGGGGUCUCAUUCCAAAAUACUUAGAAUUCUGAAAUUUGGGUACUGAAAUCGACUCUCUGAACUUCCUGAUGACAUGGCAGGACGGACCGUCGUGGGCACGACGGACCAUCACAGACUCUUCAGGGAAUUGAGUCUCUGAACUCUGUGAUGGAAGUAGCAGGACGGACCGUCGCAGGCACGACGGCCCGUCACAGGCUGCGUAAUCCUAGGCUGGGUCAGAUUUCUAUUAAUUGUUUAAAAGGGCGUUUUGGACUAUUCCUGCUAUAAUUAUAAAUUUAGUGGGUUAAUGUUAAUAAUUUAAUUGCUUGGGGGUUAAAGGAGAUAACCUUGAAUUAAUUAAGGGGUUAAUUCAUCACCUUUUAUACUUAAUUAUAUGCUAAUUAGGGUAAAAGAAAGAGGGUUUGAAUAAGAAAAAUAGAAAGAACAGAGAAAGGGAGAAGAACGAUCGAGAGAGUGGAGAAGCGCAGAGGAAAGCAAAGCAUUGGAAAAGUAGAUUUCUUGAUCACGAAUUCUUCGGUGGAGGUAGGUUAUGGUUUAUGCUAUUCGUAGUAAGCUCUUAAUAGCGAAUGAUAUGUGUUGGGUAGUAUUCUAAACCCUUCUAUAUGCUUAAUUGUAUGCUUGCAUGAAUGUGAUUAUAUAAUUGUGAUAAAAUAAGCAUGAUGAAGCUAUUGAAUCCUAAAUCUUGAAAAACCCUAAUCUACUUUGUUAAUGAUGAUGCCUUGGUAUAAAAGAAGGCUUGAUGAACGAAAGUAGUGAGAUUAGGGGAUCGGGUAUCACGUUCUGACACCAGGAUAGUAAUAGAGGAUCGGGUGCCACGUUCCAGUACCAGGAUAGUAUAUAAGGAUCGGAGUGUCACGUUCCGACACCAGGAUAGUAUAUGGAUCAGGUGCCACGUUACGGUACCAGGAUAGAAUGAGGAUCGGAGUACCACGUUCCGACACCAGGAUAGAAUGAGGAUCGGAGUGCCACGUUCCGGCACCAGGAUAGAAUAUGGAUCGGGUGUCACGUUCCGACACCAGGAUAGUAUAUGAGGAUCAGAGUGUCACGUUCCGACACCAGGAUAGUAUAUGGAGCGGAGUGUCACGUACCGACACGAGAGGAAUAAAGAUAAUGAAUCUUGAAAGAUGUUAAUGUACUCAACUUAAAGAACUAAUUCCCAAAUGAGUAUGAUGGGGAGGCGUGAGUCCUCAUUGAUGUGCUUGGUGUUGUGACCAAGGGUUAUGAUAAUUGUAAAUGUUGCAUGCUAAGAAUAUUAGUUGAUUUUAUGAUGUUAUGUUAUAUAUACUGUUUUCUAUUUUGAGUUGGCCGAUGAUACCUACUCAGUACUUGUGUUUGUACUGACCCCUACUUGUAUUCUUUCUUUGUUAUUUGUGGAGUGCAGCAAACGUACCGUCGUCUUCAACACAACCACAACUCUAGCCAGUCUUCAUUACACCGGAUUUCAGGGUGAGCUAAUGCUUCUAGCUUGGACUGGAUCUUCUUCUUCAUGUCUUGAUGCCUUGAAGUUCCGGCAUGGACUAGUUUUUAUUUAUUUUAGCUUCUUAGAUACUCUUAGAUUUAGUAAUUUGAGGAUAGAUGUUCUUGUGAUGAUGACUUCCAGAUUUUGGGGAUAAUGAUUUAUAAAUUUUAGAAGUUAUUUGAUUCAUUUCGUUAAUGAGUUUUAAGUCUUCCGCAUUGUAUUUUGUUCGUUAUGCUUGAAAUGGUGGGGUUUAGAUUGGUUGGUUCGCUCACAUAGUAGGAUAAGUGUGGGUGCCACUCGUGGCUCGAUUUGGGUCGUGACAAUCUUAGUAUCAGAGCAUUAGGUUUGUUGAUCUCAUCACAUAAGAACGAGUCUAGUAGAGUCUUAAGGAAUGGUAGGGGGACGCCUUUACUUUUCUUUGAGAGGCUAUAAGACUUUAGGAAAAUUCCAUUCUUUCUUUCUUUCUUUCGUGCUAUUACUUGGAUCCAAUUGGUAUCUAGGUGAUACAAAUUGGUAUCUGACCAUCUUCACUCUAUUUCGUAGAUGGUUAGAACUAGAGCAACGACUGCGCCAACACCAACAUCGGCAAGACAAGAAGCGUCUGAGCCAGCCACUGGGGCUGUAGCUCGAAGAGGAGUAGUGGUAAGAGGCCGUGAAAGAGGUCGUGGGAGGACGUCCUCUAGAGGAAGAGGACAAGCACCUAGCCCAUCUGGUACUAGGGUGGUGACUCCUCCACCAACUGAGGAAGUGGUAAGAUAGGGUGAGGAAGGGGAGAAUGAACAAGUGCAGAAUGAGGAAUUGCCACCCCGACCUACCCCAGAGAUGAUCAAUCAGGUUCUUGCUUAUCUUAGCGGGUUAUCUGAUCAGGGCCAGACACCUCCAGUGUUUUCUGCACCAACACCUCCUGUUCUGGAAGUACAACAUGCAGCUACUGUGGCUCCCCGCAUGGAUGACUCAUUGGAAUUAGACAUGUUUCCUCGUCUGACUACAGGUCCUAUAAUGACAAGUGAUCAGCAUGAACUUUUCAGUAAGUUCUUGAAAUUGAAACCUCUUGUCUUCAAGGAUGCUGAAAUCUGAGGAUGCCUACAAUUUUCUGGUUGACUGUCAUGAGCUACUACAUAAGAUGGGUAUAGUAGAAUGAUUUGAGUUGAGUUUGUGAUUUAUCAGUUUCAAGGGAAUGCCAAAAUGUUGUGGCGGUCACAUGUUGAGUGUCAACCAAUAGAGGCACCACCUAUGACUUGGGCAUUAUUUUCUAGCUUGUUUAUGGAGAAGUAUAUACCCCGUACUUUGAGGGAUAGGAGGAGAGAUGAUUUUCUAAGCCUAGAGCAAGGUAGGAUGUCGGUUACUGCUUAUGAGGCUAGGUUUCGUGCACUUUCCAGAUAUGCCACCCAGCUUUGCUUCAGUCCACAAGAGCGGAUUCGCCAUUUUGUGAAGGGGUUGAGGUCAGAGUUGCGAAUUUCAGCCUUACAAGUAGCGGCUACAGCAAGAUCCUUUCAGAAAGUGGUAGACUUCGUGAUAGAGGUGGAGGGAGUGAAGCCAGAUGACUUCACCAUGGCAUCGACAUCAAAAAGGUUUCGUAAGGGAGGUGAGUUUAAUGGUUCUUACUCCAGAGGGCAGGGUUCAGGAGGUUUCCAGCCCGACCUAUUCAGUCUUCACUGCAGACUGUAGUUGGGGGUCCACCGCAGACCGGUCAACAUUUCUCUGAGUUUGGAGGUUAUCCCCAGACUUCGUCAUUCUCACAGAGACCUAUGCUUGAAUCAAGAGAGUGUUAUGGAUGUGGGGAGACUGGACAUAUUAAGAGGUAUUGCCCAAAACAAAGUUACAGACCUCCAAUGGUCAGAGGUAGAUGUGGUCAUGGAAGAGGCCGUCAUUCUGGAGGACGUGGUGGUCGAGGUAAUGGUGGUCACCAAAACGGCCGGGGUGAUGGGAAAACUGGAGCCACUACAGCACAACAUGGUAGGGGCAACGGGCAGACAAGUGACAGGGCCCAUUGUUACGCUUUCCCUGAGAGAACUGAAGUGGAGACAUCUGAUGCUGUUAUCACAGGUAAUCUUUUGGUUUGUGAUUGAAUGGCUUUUGUAUUAUUUGAUCCUGGCUCCACAUUUUCAUAUGUAUCUUCCUCAUUUGCUACUGGUCUUAAUUUACAUUGUGAAUUGCUUGACAUGCCUAUUCGUGUUUCUACUCCGAUGGGUGAGUCUGUGAUAGUCGAAAAGGUGUAUAGGUCUUGUCCUGUGGCUUUUGUAGGGAGCAAUACUUAUGUAGACUUGGUAUCUUAGAAAUGGUUGAUUUUGAUGUAAUUCUGGGUACGACUUGGCUUUCUUCAAAUUUUGCAAUCUUAGAUUGUAAUGCAAAAAUUUUAACGUUGGCCAAGCCCGAGGACAGAUCCGUUAGUGUGGGAGGGCAACUACACUUCCACUGUGGUUCGUAUCAUCUCCUUUAUUCAUGCUAAGAGAAUGGUUAGUAAAGGGUGUUUAGCUUUCUUGGCACACCUCAGGAAUGAUACUACCCAAGUACCUUCAAUUGAGUCGGUUUCGAUAGUCCUGAGUUUCUGGAUGUGUUCCUGCAGAUCUUCCUGGUGUGCCUCCAGAUAGGGAUAUUGACUUUUGCAUUGAUUUGGAACCGGGUACUCGCCCCAUUUCUAUACCCCCUUAUAGAAUGGCUCCCGUGGAGUUAAGAGAGUUAAAGGCCCAACUUCAAGAGUUGUUGAGCAAAGGCUUCAUUAGACCAAGUGCAUCUCCUUGGGGUGCUCCUGUUUUGUUUGUGAAGAAGAAGGAUGGGAGCUUUCGGAUGUGCAUAGACUACAGACAAUAUCCUCUUCCUCGCAUCGAUGAUUUGUUCGAUCAGUUACAAGGUGCUUGUACCUUCUCAAAAAUUGAUUUGAGAUCGGGUUAUCAUCAAUUGAAAAUACGGGCAACGGAUGUGCCCAAGACUGCUUUUCGGUCCAGGUAUGGGCAUUAUGAGUUCUUAGUAAUGUCUUUUGGGCUUACAAAUGCCCCUGCCGCUUUCAUGAGCUUGAUGAAUGGGAUAUUUAAGUCAUAUCUGGAUCUCUUUGUCAUUGUAUUCAUUGAUGAUAUACUGGUAUACUCAAAGAGCAAGAAAGAACAUGAGGAGCACUUGAGAAUUGUAUUGGAAAUGUUGAGGGGGAAAAAGCUUAAUGCCAAAUUCUCCAAGUGUGAGUUUUGGCUAGAUUCAGUGUCCUUCUUGGGGCACGUGGUGUCUAAGGAUGGAGUGAUGGUGGAUCCAUCUAAGAUUGAAGCAGUGAAAAAUUGGGAGAGACCUACUAAUGUUACAGAGGUAAGGAGCUUUGUUGGUUUAGCUAGCUACUACCGUCGAUUUGUCAAGGGAUUUUCCUCUAUUGCUUCCCGACUGACGAAUUUGACUAAGCAAAGUGUUCCAUUUGUAUGGUCGGACGAGUGCGAAGAAAGCUUUCAGAAGCUCAAGACUUUGUUGACUACUGCACCCAUUCUCACCUUGCCAGUGGAAGGUAAGAAUUUCAUUGUCUAUUGUGAUGCAUCCUAUUCGGGUUUGGGUGCAGUGCUAAUGCAAGAGAAGAAUGUAAUUGCUUAUGCUUCGAGGCAAUUAAAAGUGCAUGAACGUAACUAUCCGACCCAUGAUUUGGAGUUGGCUGCGGUAGUGUUUGCAUUAAAGCAAUGGAGACACUAUCUAUACGGAGUUAAGUGUGAAGUAUACACGGAUCAUCGUAGCCUACAGUAUGUCUUUACUCAAAAAGAUUUGAACUUGAGACAGAGGAGAUGGAUGGAACUACUGAAGGACUACGAUAUCACUAUCUUGUAUCAUCCGGGAAAGGCUAAUGUUGUGGCAGACGCCUUAAGUAGAAGGGCAGGAAGCAUGGGAAGUCUGGCUCACUUGCAAGUUUCUAGAUGUUCAUUGGCUAGAGAGGUUCAGACUCUGGCUAACGACUUUAUGAGGUUAGAGGUAAAUGAGAAGGGAGGAUUGUUGGCUUGUAUGGAGGCAAGAUCUUCCUUUCUUGACAAGAUUAAGGGAAAGCAGUUUAAUGACGAGAAGCUGAUUCGGAUCCGAGAUAAGGUGUUGCGAGGAGAGGCUAAGGAAGCAAAAAUCGAUGAGGAAGGUGUUUUGAGAAUUAAGGGAAGGGUAUGUGUACCCCGCGUCGAUGAUUUGAUUCACACUAUUCUUACCGAGGCUCAUAGUUUAAGGUAUUCUAUACAUCCUGGUGCAACCAAGAUGUAUCGUGACCUAAAGCAAUAUUUUUGGUGGAGUAGAAUGACGCGUGACAUUGUGGAGUUUGUCACCAAAUGUCCAAAUUGUCAGCAAGUAAAGUAUGAACACCAGAGGCCUGGAGGAACCCUUCAGAGAAUGCCCAUUCCGGAAUGGAAGUGGGAGAGAAUUGCAAUGGACUUCGUGGUUGGUCUUCCAAAGACAAUGGGUAAGUAUGACUCUAUUUGGGUGAUUGUUGAUAGGUUAACAAAGUCUGCUCAUUUCAUUCCGGUCAAGGUGACUUAAAAUACAGAGAAGUUAGCCAAACUGUACAUCUCAGAAGUUGUUCGGUUGCAUGGGGUUCCACUCUCCAUCAUAUCAGAUAGAGGUACACAGUUUACUUCUAAGUUUUGGAAAACAUUGCAUGCUGAAUUGGGUACUAGGUUGGACCUUAGUACUGCAUUCCAUCCUCAGACCGAUGGUCAGUCUGAGCGAACGAUUCAAGUGUUGGAGGAUAUGCUUCGUGCAUGUGUGAUAGAAUUUGGUGGUCAUUGGGAUAACUUUUUACCCUUAGCAGAAUUCUCGUACAAUAAUAGCUAUCACUCAAGUAUUGAUAUGGCCCCAUUUGAGGCACUGUAUGGGAGGAGAUGUAGAUCUCCCAUUGGUUGGUUUGAUGCAUUUGAGGUUAGACCUUGGGGUACUGACCUUCUGAGGGUAGUAUUGUAAACCCUUCUAUAUGCUUAAUUGUAUGCUUGCAUGAAAGUGAUUAUAUAAUUGUGAUAAAAUAAGCAUGAAUGAAGCUAUUGAAUCCUAAAUCUUGAAAAACCGUAAUCUACUUUGUUAAUGAUGAUGCCUUGGUAUAAAAGAAGGCUUGAUGAACGAAAGUAGUGAGAUUAGGGGAUCGGGUGUCGCGUUCUGACACCAGGAUAGUAAUAGAGGAUCGGGUGCCACGUUUCGGUACCGGGAUAGUAUAUAAGGAUCGGAGUGUCACGUUCCGACACCAGGAUAGUAUAUGGAUCGGGUGCCACGUUCCGGUACCAGGAUAGAAUGAGGAUCGGAGUGCCACGUUCCGACACCAGGAUAGAAUGAGGAUCGGAGUGCCACGUUCCGGCACCAGGAUAGAAUAUGGUCGGGUGUCACGUUCCGACACCAGGAUAGUAUAUGAGGAUCGGAGUGUCACGUUCCGACACCAGGAUAGUAUAUGGAGCGGAGUGUCACGUACCGACACGAGAGGAAUAAAGAUAAUGAAUCUUGAAAGAUGUUAAUGUACUCAACUUAAAGAACUAAUUCCCAAAUGAGUAUGAUGGGGAGGUGUGAGUCCUCAUUGAUGUGCUUGGUGUUGUGACCAAGGGUUAUGGUAAUAGUAAAUGCUGCAUGCUAAGAAUAUUAGUUGAUUUUAUGAUGUUAUCUGAUAUAUACUGUUUUCUAUUUUGAGUUGGCCGAUGAUACCUACUCAGUACUUGUGUUUGUACUGACCCCUACUUGUAUUCUUUCUUUGUUAUUUGUGGAGUGCAGCAAACGUACCGUCGUCUUCAACACAACCGCAACUCUAGCCAGUCUUCAUUACACCGGAUUUCAGGGUGAGCUAAUGCUUCUAGCUUGGACUGGAUCUUCUUCUUCAUGUCUUGAUGCCUUGAAGUUCCGGCAUGGACUAGUUUUUAUUUAUUUUAGCUUCUUAGAUACUCUUAGAUUUAGUAAUUUGAGGAUAGAUGUUCUUGUGAUGAUGACUUCCAGAUUUUGGGGAUAAUGAUUUAUAAAUUUUAGAAGUUAUUUGAUUCAUUUCGUUAAUGAGUUUUAAGUCUUCCGCAUUGUAUUUUGUUUGUUAUGCUUGAAAUGGUGGGGUUUAGAUUGGUUGGUUCGCUCACAUAGUAAGAUAAGUGUGGGUGCCACUCGCGGCUCGAUUUGGGUCGUGACACUAUCAUGCUUCAAACCACAUGUUCAUACAAUCCAUAACAUAUUAUAAAUGCCUAAAUAUGAUACUAAUACAAUUUAUAAAGUAAUGCCGACAAGGCCACAUCUUUCUCAAAGGUAACACAUAAGCACCGCCACCAUAAGUGGAUCAUACCAAUCAUCAUUGUAAUACAAAAUCUAUACAUAAUAUAAAGAGAUUUAGGACAUCAUACCACCCAUUCAAUCUUACAACUUUCAUCCAUAAAUAAAUCAACCAACGCAUUACUCAAACGCACUUACACAUGCCCAUGAGCAUCAAUUUAAUUCAAUAAGCUUAAUACACAAUGGAUCUAAGAAUAUAAAAUACUCAUAUGAUCAAUUUGAUACAGCCUAUAAACCAUACAAUUAUAAUUUAUACAUAUAUCAAGAGCCAUAACAAUCUACAUAUGAAUUCACUACUAAUUAGCCAUGAUCAAUCUACCCAUAUUUUAGUCAAAUUGAGAGAUUUGAGAAGGCAAAGGGUUCAUGGAGAAUUUCAUUGGAAAACAUCAAUUAUACAUUAAUAAUAUCAUAUAUUAAGGUUUGAAAAUUUUUCAUGCAACAACCCAAGACUUUGAGUAGAAAUUGGACUAUUUCAUUUUUUAAAAUCUUUGAAAAUCAUCUUUGAAAUUAACUCUAAAGUUAUAGAAAGUCUUAUAUUAAGUACUCCAAUACCUUAUUCAUAUAACCCAAUGAUAAUUGAAGAAGAAACUCCAUUGAAAAUCUAGCUUUAAGCUCCAUGUUCACCUUGAGCUCUCAUGGAGGUUUUUGGAGAAACUUUGCGAGGGAAUGGGUUUUUAUCUAGGUGCUAAGGUUUAAAUGAGAUUUUAAUGACUUAUAUAAUUUUAAACUACCCAUAAAUACUAAAAAUAACUGCCCUCCUAUUUUAAAAGACUUGGGGUGAAUUUUCCAGAACCCCCAAGUCUUAACAGGAAAACUGGCAGAAUUGCAGCACCAUCGACGCCCUAGCAUCGACGGUCCAUUGGUGAGACCACACCCCGUCAAUGGGGUCUGUUGGUUGAAUAUGAAGCUCCUCCACCUGCAGGCUACAUGGAUCCAUUGACUCCACCCAUUGAUAGGCCAUCGUUUGGGGUAGUUGAUUGCCACUGCCUGGCAGUGUUGAGCUCAAAGUUGGUGUCUCCUUCUAGGGCCCCUUUUGGGUCCUAGGUGAGUCGUACCUGGUCGUUAAACCUCUAUACAUGCACCAAAGUCUAUAUUAGUAAAAAAUUUAGAGUUAUUUACUAUCAUUAUCAUGCACCGCACCCGGUUGUUUAUUUUACAUCAUAUUCCUAUCACACCCCAAGAAUUGUGUUUUCUUAUUUGUAUCUCUAUUUUUACCAUUUUAGUUUAUAAUUAUCUAUUAAAUCCCUUCAAUAUUUAACCCUUUAGUCACCCCUUUAAUUUAUUAUUCUAUCAUUUGUAUUUUUUUUUAGCUAUGACUAACAUGAAAUGAUGUGUACUUGGCUGCUGAUUCUCGAAGCACUCCCUGUGCGAAGGAUCCCAAUCCUUGUUUGGGUUAUAUUACUACCCAAGAACAUUGGCACUUGAACUGGAAGUAAUGUCGUGAUACAUGAAGUCAAUGGCUUACAUAUUGAAUAUACUCAUCGAUUAUGGUUUUACUCUAAACUUUACGAUGAUUCUUAAACUUGAUAAAAUGCAUGCUCUUCAACUAAAUUUUCCUUUUUUAGUAAAUAUGCAUGGUUUUGUGCAUGGCUAUCAUACUUAGUGCAUUUUUGUACUAACCCAUAUUUCUUCUAAAUUUCUGUAAGUGUAGGUCUUGGUUCUUGAGUUGGUAUCCUCUUGCUUGAAGCUUGGAUUGACUAUUAUUUUUACUCAUUGGUGAGUUCUCAUGGUGCGAGGAUGGAUGAUAAUUUGUUUCUAGUUCAUUCUUGUACUUUCAUUUGAGAACUAUGACGUUAAGGGUUUUGACCCUAUUGUUGAGACUCCUAUUUUAAUAGAGGGUAUUAUGAGAUAAGUAAACACUUCUGCUUAACUUUUAUGAAAAACUUCUUAAGACUUAAAAUGUAUUUUUACACUCUAUUGUUCUUUAUUAUGAGAUGAUGAUCCUAAGAGGUCUACACGAUCUCUUUUGGGGUAUUGUGUGUCUUGUUACAUCUAGGAUAUAUCUUGAGUCAUGAAAGCAAGUUAUAACCUCUAAUGGUUUGUAUAUCCCUUUUGUAACAACCCUAAUAAUUAAAUAAGACAAAUUAGACCUUCACAUUAGUCGUUUAAAUGUUAAACAUAAACUUCUUGAUAUUAAAUGUUGAAUUCUCGAUGGUUGGGUUGUUUUUCGAGUUAAAUCUAUUAUGUAUCGAGGUUAUUAUUGAUUUGAAGUGCUUGGGGAAACAAUCAUGGAAUUUUGUAGUUUAGAGAUGAAAAACGAAGAAGAAAUUUUGACGGGCAAAAUAUAAGUUAUGGCCGCGUGUCGCGCUCCUAGUAUAGAGGUCUAAAAAAACAAAAAGUGUUGUUCCUCAAGAAUACAUUUUCAGAACUAGAAUUUGACAUGGCCGCGCGUCGCAGAAUCACCUCCAGUUCUUGAAAUUUGUUUGCCUUUAAUGAAAGUGAAGUUGCACUUUUAUUUUAAAAGUCCAACUAGUGUAGGGUGCUUUGGUUAUUUUAGGGUUUCAAUAUAAAUAGUUUUUAAGUCAUUUUACAUCCAUUCCAAAUCAAAAAACAAACACCCAAUUACAAAUCAAAACCUCCCACUUCUCUCUAAAUUUUCUCUCUACACAAAAAAGAAAACCUUCAUUGAAGAACAUUCAAGCUUAAAGGAAAAAGUUGAUUCUCAAUGUUUUUAACUCACAUUUCAUGGUUAGGUAGUCAAUAUGGUAUAGUGCUUUCAUCCUUGAUUCUUGUAUUAUUCAAGGAGCUCAUUUAGAGGUUUUUAAAAGAUCUCAAAAACCAUAUCAACCCUAUUUCAAAUUCUAAGCAUGGGUUCUUGCAUUAAAUGGUUUAAAUAGAUCACUUAUGAUGUUUCCAAUGUUAAUUGAUGGUUUUGUGAUUAACAAAAUUCCAUGAACCCAUGAAUCUCUUGAUUUCCUAAGUGAUUUAAAGUGGAUGAUUGAUUAUGGCCUAAUUAUUUUAUAUUCAUGUUUAUAUUGUAAUGGACUAUUGAAUUAUAUGUUGUCUAUUGAUUGAAUUGUUCAUAGUUUGCUUAAUAGUAUAUAUUUCUAUUGAUAUCUAUCUUGAAUCAUGAUGAAGUAUGGAUAUAUGGGUGAGUUUGUGAUGUUUGCCUUAUGGGAAUGAUGUUGGGUGAUUGAUCUUGACUAGAUUGAGUAGUGGGAGGUUGAAUAAUGGUGAAUUCUGAUAUUGGAGAAUAGUGAGUUUAUUCCAUUUCUUUGUACAGUAGGAUUGUGUUUAUGUUUUGAUCCCUUUCUAGUUGAGGUGUUUACUUUUUGUUCUUACUGUGAUUGUGAUCUUGAUAUUACUUUGAGGUGAAUUGAAGGUUUCUUAUGUUGAUGUGUGGAAGAUAGGAAUAAUGUGAAGUUCCUAUAUGAUUUUAAGAUAAACUUUUAUUGCAACAAUCGGAGAGUACCCCUUAGACUUAUCGGCGUACUCGACCACAAUGAGGUUUUAUACAAGUCCUUAGCAUAAUCAUCACUUCAUAUUGAACUCAAAAUAAUGUGGAAUUUAAAAAUUUUACAAUAGAAGUUCAAAAUUCAUUUUGAUAAAGAAAAAUAGUAGGAAUCUAAUACCAUCAACACAUAUACACCAUCUACUAAUACGAGUACAACAUAAAGUGUUCAAAUACAGUCUUUAGACCUUUAGACACAAUAGUCUUAUAGUACGAAAGUACAUAAGAAAGACUACUAAGUCUAUUACAUCAAUAUAAAAAUCAUAAAGUGGUAUCAAAUGCAUUAGUCCUCGGAUCAUUAAGGACCUACCAAAAGUGUUGGAGAUAAGAAGUCCAAGAUUUCUUGAAAGAUGUAGAAGAAAAUGAAUGAGUUAGAACCUGUACUCAUAAUAGAAAGGAGAAAGCGUUUAGUAAAAUUAAUGAACUAAGUAUGGAGAAAUUCAUAAAAACCUUUUUGACAUGAAAAAGGGACAUUAUAUGAAAGCAUGCAUUUAUUAGGUUUUUGAAAGCCAUUCACAUCAUCAACACAACACAUAAGGAAAAAAACCCAAACCAUGUCCAACUACAAUAAAGGUAUGACUUUAGAACUUCCUACGGUCUAGUUCUGCAAUGUAAAGUUAGCAUCCCAUAAUUAAACCCUAACAAGCAUCCCUUAGAAAACACCUUGGCCACACACAUUACCUUUACAUUCUAUCACAUUCGUAAUCAUCAGUGAAGCACAUACAUCAUUAACCACAUUUGAAUAUAGGUAUAUGUUCAUUAAAACCAUUAUCCAUUCAACAUACAUGUUCUCAUAACAUUUCAUAACUACAAAGAACCUCCCACAACAAACUUUUAAGCCUACUAGUUCAAUGUACAAGUGAAGUCCCAUACCCCCACUUCUACUUAGUAAGCCUAUUAUGAUAUCAUAGACUAGCUCACACAUCAUUCAUUACUUCAUUAUUUAGGGAAUAUCAACCAUAACCGACAUACUCUAUGAGAUCUUACAUGGAAUCUGCUGUCCUAAAGCCCCACAACGAAAAAAGGUGUUCUACUUGCCAAGGUAGAACCUAUCAUAUUAGCUACUAUAUGGAUCAACUAGCAAAGUCCUGUGGAGGCACGUAGUUAAGUGAUAGGGAGAUUUCUCCUACAGACUCUACAUAUUGCAAUAACGGAAGAGUCCCUAUCUCAUGAGUAUCUCUAGUAUGAUUCAACCUCUUGCAUUAACGGGAAGGUCCUUUCCACAUUGGCCAUAUCCUCUCGGUGCUUAGUGUACUAUCCAAACAAACUACUAUUAGUCUUCUUAUGUGUAUCUGCAUGUGUGAAAAAAUAUUCCCUGUUCAUUCAAUACAAUUCAGCAUAAAGCUCUUAGAUUCAUUAGGUGAGAAUGCACUUUCAUCCUAGAAUCAACAUACAUAUGUGAGUAGCACUUUCACAACAUCAAUUAUAGUGUUUUAAUGAGAAUUAUACCUUCAAUCAACACAAGAUACUAACACCAUUAUACAUAAUUCAUGCCACAUAAUAGGUAAGGUUGAAGAGAGUGGAAACCAUCCCACACCACCUUUCUUGAAUCCUUUCAUAAGCGAUGUACCUUGGAAGCAAAUGAAACAUCCAUAUACAAAAUUCUUCAACAGAUAUACAAGCCAUAAAAUUGCCCCCCCCCCCCACACCUUUUCAUGUUUAAUAAACAAUUAUCAUAAUUACUCCCAUAUACAUCACAAUCGGCAUGAAAACAAUACUCUAUGACUAGAUAAUCAUUAAUUACAAUGCACUGUGUUCAUAUCUACUUAAUUAACCCAUCAACAUUCAUGAAGUUAGGUAAUAGGGUGCAUGGGUUCUUGGAAAAUUUUGACUAUAUAAAUUAUCAAUUAAUCCCAAUAUAUUCAUAAUAUAAAGGAAAUGGUUAUGGAGUGAACCCAUGCCUUGAUCACAAGCCCUAGUUUUUGGUCAAUAUCAAUUUAUAAAGUAGAAGUUUUGAAGGGCUCAAUGGAUAAAAUAAUCCAUGAAUCAACCUUACCAUAGCUUGCUUGAUGUUAUUCCAAAUGUUUGAAGUGAAAGAGAGUGAAUCUUGAGUGCCCUAGCUUGAGUUCUUCCUUGUUCUUCAUUGGCGGGAUAGAGAGAAUUUGUGAGAGAGGGAAAGCGAGUUUUGAUUUUUUAUUGGCAGUUAUAAGGUGGAAGACUUUUUUAAUUUAUUAUUUUCUUUAAAUCUACUUAACUAACUAAUAGAAGUCGUAAUUAAGGGUUAACUAAACGAUUAACUAUUUACUUUACUUACCCUCACUAAAGUUGUAAGGACCACAAAAUGAAAUAAGGUUAAGUAGAGUAUCUCAUGUGUUUAAAGAGUCAGUAAAUCAUUUUAAAGAUCUUUCACAGCUUUUAGAAGGUAGUCUGAAGAGGGUUGAGGUCAACCAUCUAAGGAUGACCAAGACAUUCGAAAACUAGUCUAAGUUGAACUAGUGUAUAGUAGUAUUUUAUAGUGGAAUUUUGGUGUAUGAUCUACGGUCAAAUUGAGUAUAGAGGGUUCCUAAACAUACAAUAACAUGUAAAUGGUAAAAUUGUUCGAGGAAGACUCACCGCAGAACAUCCUAAGGGUUCCCAAAGAUCACCCAACAUGGGCAAAGGAAGCUGCCGAGGCAGCCAAGAAUUGGAAGUGGCGCACGUCACGCCUGCCGCACUCAAAGGGAAAUUUUUUCCCUGCGAUGCGGGGCCAACCCAAACCAUUAUGUCUCCAAUGAAAUUCCAGAACUAAGAAUUCGAGGUGACCCCCCGAUGCACAGUGACUUUCUAGAUUUGUUCGCGUCGUUUUUUAAGUCCAAUUAUAAUUGGUCUAAAGGUCCAAUAAGUGUAGGGGUCUUUUGGUACUUUGGGGAUUAAUUUUUGGAGUCUAUUAUAUGGGUUUGAAUUAUAUUUAAGCAGUGCAAUAGUCAUUUAGACUCUAGACUUCAAAUCAAAACUUCUCCACCCCCCCCCCCCCUAGAAUUCUCUUAAGGACACCAAUGAAGAAGAAGAGAAAUAGGAGGCAACUUAUACUGAGAAAUACACCUUUUAAUAAAGAUGUAUUUAAUGCUAUAAUAAAAGGUAUGUGAAUCUUAUUCAUCCUUGGAGUCCCCUACUUUCUCUCAAAUGUGAAUCCAAAAUACCAUAAUCUAGAGAGGGUUGUGAUUGCAUUGUGUGUAAGGCUUGAAUCUGAUCCCAAUCUAGUGGGUAACAUUCAAUUAUGUAUAUAUGAUGAUUAUGUUAUGUUUUAAUGAGGUUUUUAUGGUGAAUUGUGGUAUUUAAUUAUGAAAGUGAUCAUGGUAGGCUUAGGUCACUAGAGGCGAGAUGGAAGGUUUUAAGUUGAUCUCCUAAAUUCAAUUGUGUUGUAUACGAAUUGGUAAUUAUAGGAAUACCUAAAUAUGAAUUGAAGUGGUCCUAAUUGAUUAAGAACGAUUUUCAUUUGUAAAGUUGUAAUUCAACCUAUAUGUUUAAGCAUGACUAGAAUUACCUUCUAAUGAUAAAAUUGUAUGAAAUAACUUGUAAUUGGACAUGGAACAUUAUAGAAUGAAGUUAGAUUUGAUGUGUUUGUGGGUGAAGUCAUUAUGAGGGGAUUUCGAUGGGUUGUUCUCCUUCUCCUCUACACUUAGACAUGAACAAGCUAAGGGAAAAAAGUUCUCUCAUAUAGAUGGAUUCUAGGUUGACCUUAGAACCUAAAUGAAUCAAGGCAUGAUAGACUAGAAUUGCUUGAAGUUGUACUGAAUAGUCACUUCUUGUGUAAUUUAGUUGGUAAGAUAAGACCAAGUUUUGAUAGCUUGAGAUGGUAUAUCUCAUAAAAGCUUGAGAUGAUGAAUCUUAUGGAAACUUUUGUUGAAUUACUCAUGGUAGCUUGAGGUGAUGAAUCUCAUGGUAGCUUGAAAUGGAGGAAUCAUGCCCUCCCAUGUUUAGCUUGAUAUUUUAUUGCUAGGAUGCUUGAUCAUGAUAGCUUGAUUUGUAUUCGACAAAACCACUUCAAGGUAGCUUCAAGGGAAAGUCCUAUUCUCUCCUAAUGGUAGCUUGAUUUGCAAACAAGAUGCAUUUCAUGGAAUAUCUUGAGAUAGGUUUUCAUGGUAGGUUAGAGUUGAGGAUUCAUGCUCCCCUAUGGUUAGCUUGCAUCUACAUGAUUGGUUGCAUGGUGGUUAGGUUGGCACUUUUGUAUCCUUCCUUUGUUAGGUUGGAUUUUAUGUUAAGAUGCCCUCUGUGGUAGUAGGUCUAAUAUGUUAGUAUGUAAAGCUUAAUAGACAAGAGUGCAAGAUAAGUUAUCUUGGAUUAGGAUAGCCCAGAGAAGUACUUAGUAUGGAUGUUUUUAUGGGAUGACAUUCAUACAUGGGAUAAGUAUAACUUGAAGCUACCUAUGACAUGACCCCUAUAUGAUAUAUGUUUAUCUUGGGUAGUGUCUAUGGUUGCUUUCCAUGAUGUGAUUGACUUAAGACGAUAGUUCCUUGUCAAUAUGAAGUAGGUCUAAUAGUGACAUGUAAGGUUGACGAAAGUGAUUUAGGGUGAUAUCAAUAUAUGCUUAGUGUGUGAGGUAGAAUGGGAUGUCUCACCUUCAUUGAACAAGUUUGAUUUGAGGUGAUGUAGGGGCAUAAUGCUUGUAUGACAUGAAGAAUUUAGGUAUUAAUUGUUAAAGUUGAUUAUGAUCAAGAAUUACCAAAGAGAGGUACUUAGGUUUGGUAGUAUUAUGGGAUGUUACCUUCGCCUUGCACCAAUAUACUUGUAGGUGGCUUGUGAAGUAGUUCAUUAGAGUAUGAAGGACAAUGAUUUAAGUAUGAACUUAAGUAUGAUUUAUGAUGAUUUAUUAUUCUUAUGAUAUUCAUGUCAUGUUAUGAUAUUGUCUCUUAUGAUUAUGUCUAGUGUUGAUAACCCUUUAAGAUAUCUUAUAUUUGGUAUGGUAGUUUUCAUACUUGGUACAUUUCAUACUAAUACAUAUUUUGCCUACAUUUUAAUCCAUGUAGGAUCAUAAGGAGAUUGAGUUGCUUGAAGUGUAGAGUCUCCAAGGCUUUCAAGAAGUGAAGAUUGGUGAGUCCUCACAGCAUCCGAGGACACCACCCCUACGUUCUUUUUUGUUCUUUAAUAUGUUUAGACUUUUGUGGGCUGCUCCUAAGACAUUGUUAUUCAUGUUUUCAUAGAUGGUGUUUGAGACAUAUGUUAAAAAGUCUUCCAUUUUAUGAAAUGACCUUCGCAUUAUGUUUUGAAGAAAAAAAUUUAAUUUUGUGUUACUUUACAUAUAUUGUCACAUUCGUAGAGCACCCCCCAUAUGUAACCAGCGUCGGCGUCCUUGAAGAGGACUUAGACAGACCCUUAACAUUCGUCAUAACAUAUAAUAGGUUAAAAAUACACAAAAUUAAAAAACUUUUAAAUAUAGUAGUAUACUUAGACUUCUUACUUAUCAUAUAUUGAGGUAUACAAAAAUCUCUCAAAUAGAAAGCUUACUUAGGGUUCUCAUAUAAGCAACAUGAUCAAUACACUACAAUAGUCUAAUAAAACCAUCUCACAUAAAAACCAUCUAAAGAGUACGAAUCUUGGAUUUAGACAAUACAAUAUCAACAUGCCAUAUAGGCCUUACUACGAUAGAAUUCAAUGAUAAACGUUUAAAAGUAUAUCUCGUAUACUAUUACAAUCUUCAUGGUUAGAGUAAUGAUAAGAUAGUAUCCCCGAACAUGAGGACCUACCAACACUUGGAGAAAGAGCUACAAGCUUCUUCAAUCGUCCUUCUUAAGUUUCAAUGACCGUACCGUACAUUUUUUUGAUAUAUAAAGGAUAUGGGUUAGUACGUCACUUGUACUAAGUAUGGGUAUAUGCACAUAAAAUAUUUGAAGACAAGCAUGAAAAGGACCAUUUCUUUAGAAAGCAUGCUAAGUAAUUUGAAAUACUCUAAUGCACAUACAAUAGAGCAUAUACAAGAUAAGGAUCACAAAAACAUAAAGCAUGAUCAUAACCAAAGACACAUCAUCAUAAAAGUCAUAUCAAGAUUUCAUGUUCAAGAGUUUAUAUCAACAUAACAUACAACAGUUACCAAUAACCCCAUCCUAAUCCUACAAGUGAAAUGUUCAUGUGAUGCCCCAUAUCCCCACAUAAUCAAUGUAAACAAGAUAGGAGACCAUAAGUAAAGUUUUACUUCUUACAACUUAUAUCAUAAGUAGUCACUACCACAUAUAGAAAUAUACACCAAUAACAUGUUCAUCAACAUAUCAUACAUCAUAUAAUAGCAUUAUCAUAUAUCAUAAGAAUUAUACAUUUCUUGUUCAUAGUACAUAAGAACAAUCUCCUACGAAUUCCCUUAGAAUUAACUUGUGCAAUGUCUAGGUAGAGUCUCAUACCCCUACCUAUACUAAGUAGACUUCUCCAGUUACCCUAGUCAAGUCCAUUUACUUUAGUCUUUCAUUUUACUUUAGGGAACAAUAGACUUAACCAACAUUAGAGAAUGUGAGGUAAACAUGGAAUCCUGUGUUAUGAGACCCCACACCAAAAGAAGGUUGUCACAUCCGGGGAGCACCCCCUAGACGUAACUGGCGUCGUCAUCCUUUUUGGGGGACUAAGACUAACCUCUUAGCUUACAUCAUAACAUUCAUAGGUCAAAAUGCGGAAAAUGUAAAAUUUUUCUAUGUCUAACUUGAGGUUUACAUACACCUCUCACAUACACAUAAUAUAGUCAUAUUGAGUUUACAUAGACCCUUUGUAUAGGAAGAUUACUUAAUCUUCUACUUUUAUUGAGCAUACAUAUAUAAGAUAUAACAUAGUCUUAAGACCGGAUGUCUCAUCUCAUAACCAUCUAAAAUAAGAGUAUAUCAAUUGGGCCUAGCCCAUACAUCAAUGUGAUGAAGCUACAUAUAGGAUAUACAAUGUUUAGUACUCAAAUGAAAAGGAAAGAACACAGAAGUCUUAUAAAUAGAACAACAUAAUAAACUUGAUAGUGGCAUUACCCUCGUAAAGUGUGGACCUACCCCACAUGGAUGAAUGAGAAUUCCAUGUCUUCCUUCAAUGUCAUCUUAAAAGACUUUCAACGACCAGAACCUAAUUUUUUUGGGAAAAAGGGAGAAAAUGGGGCUAGUACACAACUUGUACUAAGUAUGAGACCAUAUGCACACAUAUCAUAAAAUCAUGCUAAAAAGGAAAAAUUCAUUUAAAUAUGCAAUUCACUUUGAAAAUUCUUAUGCAUAUUCAAGAAUACCAUACGAAUAAUUAAGACAUAUUUAUUAAGUCAAAAUCAUGUAAAUCACAAGACCAAAAAUACUACAUAUAGUCGAGUCAACAUGCAUAUCACAUAAUUGAUCACAUAGUCAAUGCAACUCUAUCAUGAACUCAUAAUAGAAACAAACAUGGAUAAGAGUUCAUUACAACAUAACCAAAGCAAGAGAAUUACACAUGAAACCUCAUUAAGUUAACUAGUGCAAUGACCAAGCAAAGCCCCAUAACCUUACUCAAUCAAGUAAGCUCAACAAUACAUAUAAUUCAAUGUCCAACUUCACUGAGUGCAUCAUUAAGACUACAUAUCAUCAUAAUUCAGCAAUGAAGACCAAUUUCAUAAGUGAAACAAAUCAUCAUAUAGUAUUAUCAAUGUGCAAGAUCAUUAUAUACAUAUAAUAUACAAUUAUAAGCAUAUACAUAUAUAAGAACAUCCUCCUAAGUCUUCUUUAAAGGAUAACUUGUGCAAUGUUUAGGUAGAGUCACAUACCCCUACCUCGACUAAGAUAAACCCCUUAGAUAACCCUAGUUAGAGUUCAUUUCUUUAAUUCAUUUUACCUUUUGGGAGCAUCUUGCCUCAAUCGACAUAGACAACAUGAGAUAAUGUGGAAUCCGAUGUCAUGGAAGCAUACACCAAAGGAAGGCAGACUACUUGCCAAGGUAGUACAAAAACAUGAACAUAACAACUAAGUGGAUCCACUAGCUAGUAGUCGUAUGAGGGCAACAUAGUUCAUGAAAUAGGAGAUAUAAUUGGGAACUUAUUUGUUCUACAUGAAUUAUAGUCUCCAAUAUCAAUAUUACAUUAGUGAUCCUACUAUCCCUAAGUGUGAAGAGGCGCUCUUUACUCUAUUUUACCCGGUGCUAAGCUAGAGUCCCUUUUGAAAUGUCUUUAAUGUCUUUAUUAAUUAUCAUAGUUUAAUGUAGGUCAUAAGGGGUAUUCGAUGUAUAUUUAUAAUCAUCAUAGCUCCAUAGAAUUUCAUGAGUAUAGUCCUUUCAUUACAAUUCAUAUAAGUGAGAUUAGCACAUUUACACAUUAACAUCAUGACAAGGCAUAUUAGUAAGGUAUCCCCAUCCUUAUAUCAUUUACAUCUUAGACAACACCUCACAAUCCAUAGUCAAGAAAUUUCAAUUCAACAUCAUACAAAUCCUAUCAAUCUUAAUAUAAGGUCUACUUCAAUAAAACAUCAUCACUUAAGCAUAAGUAACCAUAAGCAAAGUAUAGAAUAGAGAUUACAACACUUACAUAAUUCUCUUCACAAUGCCUUCAUCAAGGUCUUACCAGAAACCACCAACUUAACCCAAAAAUGGAAUAAAAUCAUCAUAUGAUAUUUACUAACAUAAUAACCAGACCAAUUCAAUAAUUUUAAGAUAAUUCAUCACUAGUUUAUAGCCUAGAAUUAGAAACCUAGAUCAAGUUUAUAAUCUACUUCACCAUCUAACUCAAUUACUCAAGAACUAGCAUGGUAGGAAUACAAUUCAUCUCCAUAUAUUCAUAAAUUGACACAAUAACAUCAUAGGAUAGUAAUUCACAUGCUAACCAAGUCAAUUGAGUCAUUACUAUACAAUUCAAUUCAACAUCAUAACCUAGGGUUAAGGGGAAAAGGUCAUCUUCUACAAAUUAGACCAAUCCAUCAAUAAGUAGUGUAAUCUAGUCAUAAUUCAUCAUAAUUUUAUAAAUACAAUCCAAAUAAAACAUAGACAAAACAAUUUGAAAAAUCAAUUUCGAGAUUGGGAAAGACCCACUUGAAUAUCAUACUUUUGAAAUUAAUUUGAUGGAACCCUUUGGGUAAAGAAGUCCCAAAGUUGAAUGGAUUCCCAUAACUUAUUUUUUGAUGAAUACUGAUGGAGAAACCUUGAGUUUUGCAGCCCUUUAACCCUCCUUGACAUUGUCUUCUAUGGUGUUCUUCAACUUGGGAGAGAGAAAGAAGAGAGAAGGAAGAGAAUUUGGGUUUGGGAAUUAUGAGAGUUAGGUUAGUAUAAUUAGGUUAGGGUCUUUAUAUAGGUCAUUAACCAUAUUAAUAAGUACUACCUAAACCCCUAAAUAAUUAACUAACCACCUAAUUAAUUAAUUUAACCAAUUUAAAAAUGUGCAGCAAAACAGUCCAUUGACAGACAAGACCACGACAAACGGUUCGUUUGUCAAACGACUGGUUCUGUUCACUUCCGUGCUGCACACUCAUCAUUUUGGUCGGAGACUUGUCAAAACAGUCCUCCAAGAAUUUGUCUAAAUGUCUAUCAAUGGAAUCAGUCCACGCCCCAUCGAUUGGACAACGGAUCGCCGGUUGCAUCAUAUGGUAGACACUUCCUUGAGCAACCUUUGACCCCAAAAUGCAAGGGUCCUCCUCAAGGGCCCUUGGUUAGUCCUGGUGGAGUCGUGACCGGACUUUCUGAUUAUGAAUCAACUCUAAUACGUGUUAUACACCCUUCAACUAAAUUUCAUCAAUUUUCGACUCAUAAAACUUAGUUAGAAAGGCUAUGGCACACUAGCACCUCAUUGAACUAGUUUCCACACGUCAUGGACGUUCCUUGACAUUUUGAUUUCUAAACUUCCUAAAUGACUUAUAUACAUUAAAAAUUGACCUUAAAACAGUGUCUAAACCUUUUUACACCUAUGGUAGGCUCUACAAUACAUCUUAGACAUUCAAAGUGUUACUUUAUCCCCCCUCCCUAGGAACAUUCGUCCGCGAAUGACACUAAAUUCUUUUAAAACGAAGGAAUAGACUCAAGACUAGCAGCCCAACCAACAACAAUAUAUAACUACAUGAGUUACAACAUCAAAUUAUAGUACUUUUGCACAUAACAAUUCAAAAACUUCAAUUAGCACAUACAAGGCUAAAAAUAAAAUUAUGAGGAAUUUCCUUCUCACAACAAUCGGAGCUCAACAUACCAUAAAUGAGUCAAUUAUGCCAAAACUCAACUUAAACAUUUUCAAUAUCAUUUCUCAAAGACUCACCAUAUAAAUAUGCACAACAUAACUCAAAACAAGAAGAAACUUUUCUAUGUUUAUCUUGAGAUUUACACAAACUUUUAGCAUACCCAUAAUAUGGUCAUUACAAGUAUACAUUGACCCUUCUUAUAGGAAGAUUACUUAGUGUUCUAAUUUUACUACACAUAGAUAUAUAAGAUAUAACAUAGUCUUAAAACCGGAUGUCUCAUCUCAUAACCAUCUAAAACAAGACUAUAUCAAUUGGUCAUAUCCUAUACAUCAAUGUAAUAAAGCAACAUAUAGGCUAUCAAUGUGGAGUACUCAAAUGAAAAGGAAAGAACUAAAAGUAUUAUAACUAGAACAACAUCAAAAGCUUGACAGUGGCAUUACCCUCGGAAAGUGAGGACCUGCCCAACUUCAACGAGUGAGAAUUCCAAGUUUUCCUUAAAAGUCUUCUCAAAAGCCCUUCAACCACCGGAAACUAAAAUGUUUGGGAAAGGGGAGAAAAUGGGGUUAGUCCACCAUUUGUACUAAAUAUGAGACCAUAUGCAGAGAUAUCAUAAAAUCAUGCUAAAUAGGGACAUUUCUUCAAAGUAUGUUAUUUACUUGAAAAUCUUUAUACACAUUCAAGAAGACCAUACCAAUCAAUAAGAUAUAUUUAUUCAUUGAAUAUCAUGUACAUCACAAGACCAUCAAUAUUAAGCAUAGUCAAGCCAACAUUCAUAUCACAUAAUUGAUCACAUAAUCAAAACUACUCCAUUAUCAAGAUAAAACAUCAACAAGGAUGAGUAAGAGUUCAUUACAACAUAACCAAAGCAAGACCAUCACCCAUGAACCCUCAUUAAGUAAACUAGUGCAAUGACUAAGCAAAGCCCCAAAACCUUACUCCAUCAAGUAAACUUAACAAGAACCAUGACCAAUGUCCAACUUCACAUAGCAUAUCAUUAAUAGUACAUAUCAUCAUACUUAGCAAUAGAGAUCAAGCACAUAUUCAUAAGUAAAACCAAUCAUCAUAUAGUAUCAUAUAUGUGCAAGAUCAUCAUAUACAUAUCAUGUACCAGUAUAAGCAUAUGCAUAUAUAAGAACAACCUCCUAAAGCUUCCUUCAAGGAAAGUAGUGCAUGGCAUAUGUAGUAACCCAUACCACUACAAAAGCUAAGUCAAACCUCUUAAGUCACCCUAGUUAGUUGUACUUAAUUACUUCAAUUUUGUUUAGGGAAAUCUUGCCUUAACCAACAUAGACCACAAGAGCUAAAUAUGGAAUCCGGUGUUGUUAAACCUUACACCUAUGGAAGCUGGUCUACCAGCCAAAGUAGAACCAAACAUAAACGUAGAUCUUUAGGUGCAUCCACUAGCUAGUUUUCCUGGGCAACAUAGUUAAGGAAUUAGGAGAUAGGUAUGAACUCUCUACAUGCCAUUUGGCACUUGGAGACUCAUCUCAUGAGAAUCCAUAAGGUGAGUAUCCCUCAUAGAGGAGUCAACACCUCAUGUGGAACUACAGGGUAAAUCUUCCUCUAUGGGAAGUCAACACCUCCCAUUGCCAAGUUUUCUUGGUGCUAAGCUGACGUCCCUUUUGAAAUAUCUUUAAGUUUUCCAUUAUUAUCAAAACUUAGUUUUGCUCAUAGGGUUUAUCCGUUGUGUAAUAGUCAUCAUCAUAGAUCAAUAAUAAUUGCAUGAGUAUUGUCCUUUCAUUACAAUUCAUACAAGUGAGGUUAACACAUUUACAUAGUCACAUCAUAUUAAGGCACAUUGGUAAGUUAUCACCCUUGUUAUAACAUUUAGAUCUUAUCCAACACUCACAAUCCAUAGUUCAAGACAUUUCAAUUCAACAUCAUACCAAUCCUAUCAAUCUUAAUAUAAAGUGUACUUCAAUACAACAUCAUUACUUAAUCAUAAGUAACCACAAUUGAAGUAAAUAAUAGAGAUCACAAGACAUACUCAAUCUCCUUCACAAUGCAUUCAUCAAUGUCAUACCAUCAACCCUCAACUCAACCCAAUAACGGUGUAAUAUCAUCACACAAUAGUAACCAACAUGAUAACAAAGCCAAUUGAGUAUAGCCUAGAAAUAAAGACUUAGAUCAAGGUCAUAGUCUACUUAACAAUCUAGGACAAUUACUCAAGAACUAGCAUAAUCGGAUUACAAUGUAUAGAAAUCUACUCAUUAUUAGCAUGAUAACAACAUAUGAUAGUAGUUCACAUACUAACCAAGCCAAUUAAAACAAUACUAUACAAUUCCAUUCAAGAUUACAACCUAGGGUUAAAGAGAGUAGGUCAUCUUAUACAAACUAGAAUAAUCCAUAAAGAAAUAACAUAAUUGAGUUACAAUACAUGUUAAUAUAUUCAUAAUAUAAAAAAACCAUAAACAAAGCAAUUCCCUAAAUCAAUUUCGUAUUGGAUGAAAACCCACUUGAAUUUCAUACUUUUGAAAUCAAUUUGAUGGAACCCUUUGGGGAAAGAAGUCCAAAAGGUGAAAGGAAUCUCAUACCUUGAUAUUUGAUUAAGAUUGAUGGAUAAACUUGAAAUUUUUCAACCCUAAAUCCCACCUCUAUCUUGGUCUUCAAAGGGGUUUCUUUGGGAAAGAGAAAGAAGAGAGGAGGAGCUAAUUAAAUUUAGGAAAUUAUGAGGAUUAGGUUAGCUUAAUUGGGUUAGGGUCUUUAUAUAUGUUCUUAAUUUAGUUAAUUAUACCUCCCUUGACCUAUAACUAAUUAACUAACCACCUAAUUAAUUAAAUUAACCAAUCUAAAAACGAGGAGCAAAACCAGUGGUCUCACAGAUGAGACUACGUCAACACCACGUUUGUUAAUCUAUAGCCACAAUUUACAAACGUCAUGGAUGUUCCUUGAUUUUUUGAUUUUGGAACUUCCUAAAUGACUUAUAUGCAUUAAAUUUGACCUUAAAACAGUCUCUUAACCUUUUAACACAUAUUUUAAGCUCCAUAUUAGGUUUUAGAAUUUUUGAGUAUUAUAUUAUCCCCCCCCAGGAACAUUUGUCCCCGAAUGUCACUAAAAUUCCUAAAAAGAAAGGAAUUGACUCAAUAAUAGUAUCCCAACCAACAACAUAUCAAAAAAUUAGUCACAAUCAAAACCAACAUAACUUCAUGGCCCUUUUUACAAUGCAACUCAAAACUUCAUUUUUCUUCAACUCAUAAGAGUUCAACAUUCAUUUCAUGCUUAUUCAUUAUGCUAAAGCUUUAUUCAACACAUAUCAACAUGCUCAAUACAAUUCAUGAAGGAACAAUAUACAAAAAUGCAUAACAUAAAUUCAAAACUUGAAGGAUUGCAAAAUUUUUAAGUCUUUAGGCAAAUUUCACUGUAAAAUCAGUGUAACUAGAACAUUUUUGCAAAACUUCACCAAAAAUGAAGCAACUUCAAAUUUAGUCAUUAUUUUCAUUAUAAGUAGGAAUAACUAACCUUAGUUAUCAAAUAUAUGAGGGUAACGGGACUUCAUGUCGGCCUCGGCCUCGCUUGUUGCACACUCAACUAGGUGAUUCUUCCAUAAUACCUUUACGGAAGCCACCUCCUUGUUCCGUAACUGCUUUACUUGUCUAUGAAGGAUUUUAACUGGAACCUCCUCAUAAGAGAGGUUCUCUUGUACACCAAGACCCUCAAUGGGAAGAACGGACUCGGGAUCAUUGAUACACUUCUUAAGCAUAGAAACGUGGAACACCGGAUGAACCGAAGACAAUUCACUAGGCAACCUCAACUCAUAUGCCACCUUACAAAUCUUUUGCAAGAUUUCAUAGGGACCCGCAUAUAAAGCCCUUGAUUGUCAAAUAUGAGCACCCCUUUCAUAGGCAAAAUUUUUAGAUACACUUUAUCACCUUUUUCGAACUCUAAUUCCCUUCUCCUAUGACGGCAUAAGACUUUUUGCCAGCUCUAGGUUUUUUUCAACUAAUUUUUUAUGAUAUAAACCUUCUACAAAGUCAUAUAAAUGAAAUCGGGAUCCAAAAGUGAAGAUUCACCUACUUCAAACCAUCCAAUUGGAGAUCUACAUCUCCUACUAUACAAGGCUUCAUAAGGGGCCAUAGAUAUAGAUGCAUGGUAACUAUUGUUGUGUAAGCAACUCCACCAAAUGCAAUUGCUUAUCCCAAUUCCCUUGAAAUCAAUUAUACAAGAUCUAAGAAUAUCCUCAACGGUUUGUAUAGUACACUCUGUUUGACCAUCCGUUUGGGGAUGAAAAGCGGUACUUAACUUCACCUUGGUACCCAACCCUUUUUGGACUGAACUCCAACAUCUAUAUGUGAAUUUUUCACCCCUACUAGACAUGAUUGAUAAUGGAAUACCAUGGCAACACACAAUCUCAUCUAUGAAGAUCCUUGCAUAAUCCUCCACCGAGUCAGUAGACUUGACGGAAAUAAAGUUAGCGGAUUUGGUCAACCUAUCCACAACCACCCAUAUUGAGUCAUAUUGCUUUUGUGUCUAAGGCAAACCUACCAAAAAAAUCCGUAGAGAUGUCUUCCCAUUUCCAAGUUUGAGGUUUGACUUCUUGAGAGUGAACCACCCGGCUUUUAGUGUUUGGCUUUCACUUUUUAGCAAUGUGGACACUUUGCAACAAAUUUUGUUAUGUCCUUCUUUAAACCUUCCCACCAAAACACUUCCCAAAUGUCAUGGUACAUCUUAGUAGAACCCGGAUGAAUGGAUUAACGUGACCCAUGAGCUUCCUCAAAAAUCCCAUUCCUCAAACCAUCUACACUGGGAACACAUAACCUUCCUUGAUACCUCAAGACUCCAUCGCAAAAAGGAGAAUGAAUCAUUAAGCUUACCAAGAUUCAAUUCCUUAAACUCCAUCAAUAUUUCAUCAAGGUGGUUUUUGGACUUCACCUCGACCAUCAAACAUGACUCAGAGUUAUGAUGGAUCAUAAAACCACCAUUCGGAGAAUCUUCAAAUCUAACACCCAGUCUAGCAAACUUAGAAGCAUCUUUCACUAGGUCAUUUAUGGCUUACUCUACAUGAGACACACUACCCAUGGUCAUAUGACUUAGAGCAUCUGCAACCACACGAGGGUGGUAUAGAACACUCAUGUCGUAAUCCGUCAACAAUUUAAACCACCUUCCUUAUAGGAGAUUCAAUUCCUUUUGAGUAAACACAUAUUGAAGACUUUUUUGGUCGGUAUACAAAUCCACAUGGACACCAUACAAGUAAUGUCUCCAUAUUUUCAAGCCAAAUACCACGGCCUCUAACUUAAGAUCAUGAGUAUGAUAAUUAUUGUCAUGAACCAUAAGUUGCCUAGUGCAAUAGUCUACUACUUUACCAUGUUGCAUAAGCACACACUCUAAAUCCACUCGGGAUGCAUCAAAAUACACAAGGAAUCCCUUGGUACCAUCCGGUAAAUCAACAGAAGAGCAGAAGUCAGCCUAUCUUUCAACAUUUGGAAACUUCUCUCACAUGCGCCCAACUACUCAAAUUAAAUACUCUUUUGGGUCAAAGUAGUCAAGGGCGAUGCAAUGGAUGUAAAACCAUCCAUAAACCUCCUAUUAUAACCCUCUACACCCAAGAAACUCCUAAUGUUAUUUGGAGUUAAUAGUCUAGGCCAAUUCUUGACCUCCUCGGUUUUCCUUGGAUCAACCUCAACUCUUUCACUAAAGAUUAUGUGGACCAAGAAACGUCACUGACCUUAACAAAAACUCACAUUUGCUAUACAUCACAAAUAGUUUAUUCUCCUUAAGCACUUACAACACCACCCUCAAAUUGUCCAUGCGUUUACACUCAUUUUUAAAACAUAUCAAGAUGUUAUCAAUAUAGACAACGACAAAUGAAUCUAGGUAAGUUCGAAACACCCUAUUCAUGAUAUCCAUUAAUACCGCCGGGGCAUUAAUGAGACCAAAGGACAUUAAUAAUAACUCAUAGUUAUCGUAUCUAGUCCAAAAUGCAUUUUUUGGUAUAUCCUCACCUCUCACCCUAAGUUAGUGAUACCCCGAUCUCAAAUCAAUUUUACAAAAGUAACUUCCCCUUGGAGUUGAUCAAACAAGUCGUCAAUUUGAGGGAGAGGAUACUUUUUCUUAAUAGUGACUUUCUUGAGUUUUCGAUAAUCGAUACAUCCUACGGUACCCAUCCUUCUUCUUUACAAACAAAACUUAGUGCCCAAUGGAGAAAUACUAGGUCUAAUGAUGUCUUUAUUUAGUAAAUUUUUGAGUUGAGCCUUCAACUCUUUCAAUUCAGCAUGAGCCAUCCGAUAAGGAGGAAUUAAAAUGUGGUUAGUAUCUGAUAGUAGGUCAAUACCUAAAUCAAUUUCCUUGUUGGGAGGGAUUCCGGGAUGAUCUUUAGGAAAGACCUCCAGAAAUUCCCUUACUACGGGGACUAACUCAAUGGGAGGAUACGACCUCUAGGAAUAUGAUUUCCACCCUUCCACUCUAAACGGUUUCAUUUGGAAAAUUGAACUUGACAAUCCUAGUUUUACAAUGAAUGGAAACAAAACAAUCAUGCAACCAAUCCAUCCUCAAAAUGACAUCGUAAUCGAUCAUAUUAAAUUCUACUAAUUGAACAUGAGUAACUCUAUUAGGAAAUAUCAUAGGACAAUUUCCAUAUACCUUAUUUGCAAACAUCGACUCACAUACUUGGGUAGUUACCAUGAAAGGUUUAUUUACAAUAUCGGGCAAAAUAUUAAAUUUCCUAGCUAUCAAGGGAGUAAUAAAAGAUACUGUAGCACCCAGAUCAAGUAAAGCAUAUACAUUAAUAGACUUGUAUCAUACCGGUCACCACAUCCGGAGAACUCUCUGGUUCACCCUUUGAUAAAAGUGCAUAAAAGUGAUUCUUCUUUGGAGGAUCGACAUUAGAACCACUAGCUUGCCUGCGACCUUUGUCUUAACCUUUCCAAUUUUAGGUAAUAUCAAACUUUGUGCCCACUUUCACCACAACUAAAACAAUUGCUCGUUCCAACUAAGUAUUCACCUAGAUGACCUUUUCCACACUUGGAACAAGUAGGAUUCUUGUUUGGUGAGCUAGUACCAAAUGAAAUUCUUCCUUCAAGUCAUCCGACACUCCCAUCAUAAAGUGGCUCAUUUCAUCUCUAAGAUCGAAAAACAAAGAAGGAGCACACUUUGAUAAUUUAGUAAAUUUCAAAGAGUAUUCAAGUAAGCUCAUACCUCCUUGGCGAAGGUUGAUUAAUUCCACCACUUUGGAUUCCCUCAUAUCUCUAGGAAAGAACAUAUAAUGAAAAGUCUUCUUGAAAAUCUCCCAUGUCACUAGUCCACCUUCUAAGGGCCUUUUAUCUCUCCAUUGAACGUACUAAGUUUGGGCCACAUCUUUGAGUUGAUAAGUGGCUAACUCGGCCUUCACACUAGAAGUAAACCCCAUACCAUAGAGAAUCUGUAGGUUUCAUCAAUGAACUCUUGGCAGUCUUCUUCAACUUUGAACCCAUAGAAAGUAGGGGGAUUCAUUCUUGUGAAAUCCCUCAAACGAGAGGCUAUGAUGCCAACAUGUUUGUUUUCUUGGAGGACAUCCUCCUGAUUAGCUUGAGACGUCAUGGCUUGAGCUUAAGUGGUGGAUUGUGUUUGAGUAUCCCACAAAGGAGGAGGAUUGACGAGAUCUUGGUCAUCAUCAUCAAAUUCUUCAAGAGGAGGGACUUGAUUGCCUCGGGAAGUAGCUCCAGCAUUGGCAAUCUCUUCAUCAAGUGUUCAAGCGGCUGUUCUUUGUGAAUUCAUUGUCUAUAAUAACAAUAAAAGGAUUAUUUACUAAGGUCACAUAGAUCCAAGACUCUAGAGUCACGAUAUUGGAUUUCCAAGAUAAGGAGAUUUUCCUAAGCAUCUUAUAGUUUCCUAUUCAUAAGUGUGGCACGCUUCAAAAUUUCGAAUAACAAUCUACAUAGACGUGGUUUAGUGAGACAUCGACUCUAAAUAUAUUUAACCUCAUGACCCGAUACCAAGUUUUUCACAUCCGGGGAGCACUCCCUAGACGUAACAGGCGUAGUCGUCCUCUUUGAGGAUUAAGACUAGCCUCUUAGCUACAUCAUUACAUUCAUAGGUCAAAAUACAAAAAAAAUUGAAACAUUUCUAUGUCUAUUUUGAGGUUUACAUACACCUAUAACAUGCACAUAAUAUAGUAAUAUCGAUUAUACAUAGACCCUUCGUAUAUGAAGAUUACUUAGUCAUCUACUUUCAUUGCACAUAAAUAUAUAAGAUAUUACAUAGUCUUAAAACCGGAUGUCUCAUCUUAUAACCAUCUAUAAAACAAGAGUAUAUCAAUUGCGCAUAUCCCAUACAUCAAUCUAAUAAAUCCACAUAUAGGCAAUACAAUGUUUUAUACUCAAAUGAAAGGAAAGAACUAAAAGUCUUAAAACUAAUACAACAUCAAAAGCUUGAUAGUGGCAUUUGCCUCGGAAAGUGAGGACCUACCCAACAUGGAUGAGUGAGAAUUCCAAGUCUUCCUUCAAUGUCGUCUCAAAAUCCCUUCAACGACCGAAACCUAAAAUUUUAAGGGAAAGGGAGAAAAUGGGGUUAGUACACCAGUUGUACUGAUUAUGAGAUCAUAUGUACACACAUCAUAAAAACAUACUAAAUAGGGACAUUUCAUUAAAGUAUGCAAUUUACUUUGAAAAGGGUUAUGCACAUUCAAGAAAACCAUUCCAAUCAAUAAGACAUAUUCAUUAGAUCAAGACCAUGUACAUCACAACACCAACAUUAUUAAGUGUAGUCAAGUCAACAUGCAUAUCACAUAAUUGAGCAUAUAAUCAAAAUUACUCUAUAAUCAAGCUAUAACAUACACAAGCAUGAGUAAGAGUUCAUUACGACAUAACCAAAGCAAGACCAUUGCGCAUGAACCCUCAUUACUUCAACUAGUGCAAUAACUAAGAAAAUACCCAUAACCCUACUCAAUCAAGUAAACUCAACAAGAACCAUGACCAAUGUCCAACUUUACAUAGCAUAUCAUUAAUAGUACAUACAUCAAACUUAAGCAUGACAUACCAAAAACAUAUUAAUAAUUGAAACCAAUCAUCAUAUAUUAUAAUCAAUAUGCAAGAUCAUUAUAUACAUUUAAUGUACCAUUAUAAGCAAGACAUAUAUAAGAACAACCUCCUAAAGCUUCCUUCAAGGAAACUAGUGCAAGGCAUAGGUAGAGUGUCAUACCCCUACCAAAGCUAAGUCAAACCUCUUAAGUCACCCUAGUUAGUUGUACUUCAUUACUUCAUUUCGUUUUAUGGAACACUUUCCUUAAUCGACAUAGAGAACAAGAGCUAAAUGUGGAAUCCAGUGUGGUAAAACCUUACACCGAUGGAAGCUAUUCUACCGGCCAAAGUAGACCCAAAAUUAGAUGUAGCUUUUUAGGUGGAUCCACUAGCUAGUCUUCCUAUGGGGGCAACAUAAUUAAGGAACUCGGAGAUAGGUAUGAACUCUCUACAUGCUAUUUGGAAGUUGGAGCCUCAUCUCAUGAGAAUCCAUAAUUUGAGUAUCCCUCUUAGGGGAGUCAACACCUCAUGUGGAACUAUAGGGUGAAUCUUCCUCUAUGUAAAGUCAACACCCCCCAAUGUAAAGUUCUUUCGGUGCUAAGGUAAUGUGCAUUUUUAAAUGUCUUUAAGUUGUCCAUUAUUAUCAAAAAUUAGUUUAGGUCAUAGGUUCUAUCCCUUGUAUAAUCAUCAUAAUCAUAUAUCAAUAAGAAUUUCAUGAGUAUUUUCCAUUCAUUACAAUUCAUACAAGUGAGGAUAGCACAUUUGCAUAGUAACAUCAUAUUAAGGCACAAUGGUAAGUUAUCAUCCUCUUAUAACAUUUAUAUCUUAGCCAACAACUCACAAUCCAUAGUUCAAGACAGUUCAAUUAAAUAUCAUAUCAACCCUAUCAAUCUAAAUAUAAGGUAUACUUCAAUACAACAUCAUUACUUAAUCACAAGUAACCACAAUUGAAGUAAAAAAUAGAGAUCACAAGACUUACUCAAUCUCCUUCACAAUCCCAACAUCAAGGUCUUACCAUCAACCCUCUACUCAACCCAAUAAGGGUGUAAUAUCAUCACACAAUAGUAAUCAACAUGUUAACAAAGCCAAUUGAAUCAUUAUACAACAAUUCAUCACUAGUUCAUAGCCUAGAAUUAAAGACUUAAAUCAAGUUCAUAGUCUACCUCACCAUCUAGGUCAAUUACUCAAGAACUAGCAUAAUUGGAUUGCAACUUAUCAAAAUUUACUCAUAAUUAUCAUGAUAACAACAUAGGAUAGUAAUUUACAUACUAACCAAGACAAUUGAAUCAAUACUGUACAAUUAAAUUCAAGAUCACAACCUAGGGUCAAGGGAAAUAGGUCAUCUUCUACAAACUAGACCAAUACAUAAAUAAAUAACAUAAUUGAAUAUAAUACAUGUUAAUAUAUUCAUAAUAUCCAAAAUAACAUAAACAAAGCAAUUCACAAGAUCAAUUUCGUAUUGGAUGAAAACCCUCUUAAGUUUCAUACUUUUGAAAUCAAUAUGAUGGAGCACAUUGGGGAAAGAAGUCCCAAAUGUGAAAGAAAUAUCUAACUUGAUAUUUUAUUUUGAUUGAUGAUGAAACUUGAUCUUCUGCAGCCCUAAAACACACCUCUAGCGUUGUCUUUCAAUUGGUCUUCUUUGGGAGAGAUAAAGAAGAGAGAAUGAGGAGUUGUUUGGGUUUGGCAAAUUAUGAGGUCAGCUUAAUUAGGUUAGGGUCUUUAUGUAGGUUUUUAAUUCACAUAAUUAUCCCUCCCUUAAACUCUAAAAAAUUAACUAACCACAUAAAUAACUAAUUAACCAAUCUAAAAAGGAGGAGAAAAACAAUUGGUCUCAUAGACGAUAUCACAUCGACGCCACGUUUGUCAAUGACGACCACAGGACCCUCUGAUCUGUUGGUCCGUCAUUGGGUCGUGACAGUCUAUAACCUAAACUAGAGCCUCACAUGUUGAACUAAAACUUAGAACACUGUUUCAAAGUCUAAAAUAAUGUUAUAAACCGUUUAGGAAGUUUUAGAGUCAAGACGUCAAGAAACGUCCAUGACGUCCAAAAGCUAGCCAAAUUUAAAUAGUGGAACAUCCUUAGGUUUUGCAUAAAUUUAAAUGUUUUGUACGAGGUCUAGAAGUUGUAAAAUGACUUUAAAUAGGUAAAACCAUGUAUAUAGGGUGGAAAAUUUCAGGUCCUACUCCCCAAAGUUUACCUUAGGGGUCCACGAAAUGACCCCAAACUUGACUUGGAAAGCUGCCAAAGAAGCAGCCAAAUUACACAUAGGGGGAGUGUGUCUGCGUCACGGACUUGCUGAUCUUUUGGUCAAAAGUCAAGUCUGCGUCGCGGGCAGGUUGUGGAAUCCACUUUCUCGAAAAAAUAAUUUAGAAAACCAUGCGGGAGUAGCUCCGCGUUGCGGACUUGUUCCCCAAUGAAAAUCUAAAAUUUGAAAUUCAAGUUUGACUUCAUUAAAAGAUCAACAUAAAUGAGGGGUCUUUUGGGUAUUUUAUAGGGGGUAUAUAUAUAUUGAUUUUAAAUCAGUUUUCUUUAUAUUUUACUCACUCAAAUCAAAUCCCUAUAUCAAACCCAAAAGCUCUCAUCUCUCUUUACUUUCUCUCUCUAUUCAACCUCCGUUGAAGGAAGAAGAAAGCUUGAAGAAGAAGGCCAAUUUCUAAAGGAUAUCACUUGAAUUUCGUGGAUUAAUCUUUAUUAAGAUAUGGGUUCUUCACUCUGGGAUUCCUUUUCCCAAGAUAUCCUCUCAAAGUUUAUUUCUAAAACACCCAAUUCCAAGGGUUUUUCUAUUCUAAUGGGUUUUCUUCAAAACUCCAAAUUGAUUUUUGAUUAUGAUUAAAUGUGUUGUGUAUGAGUAAUUAAGUUUAUAUGUUUGGGUAAUUGAUGGAAUUUCAUGUACAUCAUGUCCUUUUUCCAAAUUCCCCAAUUCUUGGGUCUUUCUUAUGAAUUUAUGGGAAUUGAAGAAUGUAUUGAUUGUUAGACUUGUUUUAUCUAUUCUAAUUCAUUCAUGGACUGCCUAGGGUAAUGUGUUGUUGGGAUUUGAUCUAUUUCACUAAGAACACAAACGCAUUUUAUACACUUGCUUUGUAUAAAAUUGUGAGAGACGAGGGAGAGAAUGAGAGUGGCGAGCGAGAUUCUCCAGGAGAGAGGCGAAAUAACAAAAGUUUGUAUAUGAUACAAUUACAUCAAACUAUGAUUAUAACAUUUUAUUUGAAUUAUAGGUUGCCAUUAUAUACAAUUUUUCUAUGAUGUGAAACCUUUACCCAUAACCCUAGGUAAGAAUUGAAGUUAAUUUGGAUAGGGAUGAUGCAGUUGACUUCACUAUUGUGUUAAUUACUAUUGUGUGAUGAUAUUACACCCAUUAUUGUGUGGAAUUGGAUGGUUGAGGGUAAAACCUUUUAUGAUGGCUAGUUAAGGAGAUUGGGGUAAAUGUUGUGAUCUCAAUCCUUUAGUUUAAAUAUGAUUACUUGUGUUUAUUGACAUAAGUGUAAUUAAGUAUACUUUAUGAUAAGAUUGAUUAGGGUUUGUAUGAUGUUGAAUUGAAAUGUCUUUACUAAUGACUUGUGAGUUGUUGGUUAAGAUAUAAUGAUAUAAGGAUGGUGAUUACUUACCAAUGUGCCUUAUCAUAAUGUGAUUAUAUCAAAUGUGUUUACCUCAGAUGUAUGAAUUGUAAUGAAAGGACAAUAUUCAUGCAAUUCCUAUUUAGCAAGGAUGAUUACUAUAUAAGGGGUGGACUCUAUGACUUAAACUAAGUUAUGAUGAUUAAUAAAGUCUUACAGGCAUUCCAAAAGGGACUCUAGCUUAGCAAUGAGUGAAACUGAAGAUGAGGGGUGGCGCCUUCCCAAGUAGGGAAGGUAGGCUUCACCAGGAUAGCCUCAUAGACCAAAAAAGGCAUAUACUGAUAUUUCCAUGUAAGGCCCCAAGCUCCAUAAACUACGUUGCCAGCAUAGGAAAACUAGCUAGUGAAUCCACCUAGAUGAUAUGUACAUGUGUGGUACUUUUUUGUCCAGUAGACCACCUUCCAUCGGUGUAAAAUUUUAUAACACUGAUUCCACACAUAUCUCUUUUUGUAUAUGUUUGUUAAGGCAAGUGUUACCGAAAUUAAAAUGAAUUAAUGAAGUAAACACUAUCUAGGUUGACUUAAGAGGUUUAACUUAGCCUAGGUAGGGAUAUGGGACUCUACCUAUGUCUUGCACUAGUUUUCCUUGAGCGAAGUCUUAAGAGGUUGUUCUUAUGAUCUAUUAAAGUUACCAUCAUGUAUAUGUUGAGUUUACAUGUUGUUGAUUCUAUACGAUGUUAGUUUCACAUAUGAAUGUGUUAUUGAUCUAUAUUGCUAAAGUAUGAGGAGGAUUACUCUUGAUGUUAAGUAAUGUGAAGUUAGGCAUUGUUUAUGGUCUUUCGAUUUGUUUACUUGAUUGAGUUGGGUUAUGGUGCUUUACUUGAUCAUUGCACUUGUAGGCUCAAUGAUGGGUUAUGGGUAAAGGUUUUACUUAUAUUAUGAUGUUAUGAACUCUUACAUAUGUUGACUUGAUUGUACUUGAUGAUGUUGGUCUUGUGUUGUAUAUUGUCUUAACUUAAGAGUUAUGUGUCCAUUAAAUUAUAUGAGUUCUUGGAUGUGCAUAAGGAUUUUAAAAUUAAAUUAGCACGUUUUGAACAAAUAACCUCUCUAGCAUGAUUUUAUUGUUUAUAUGGAUAUACUCAUACUUAGUACAAAUGUUUACUAACCCAUGUGUUAUGUUUACUGCUAAAUUCAGGGUCCGGCCUAUGAUAUUAUAGAAACACUCUGAAGACUACUUGGAUAUUUCCAAGUGUUAGGUAGGUCCUCACUUUCCUAGGAUGAUGUCAUUAUCAAGCUAUUGAUGCUAUUAUAGUCAUAAGACUUCUAGUACUUUCCUUUUCAUUUGGAGACGGCUGUUAUAUAAGCCUAUAUGAGGCUCUUUGUUGUAAUGAUGUAUGGGUUAAGCCCAAUUUUUGUAUUAAUUUUAGAUUGUUCUAAUAUGAGACAUAUUAUAGAAUUCCUAUGAGAUUAUGUUCCUAUACUAUGUAUGUGAAACAAAAGUAGAAGUCUAUGUAGUGCUUCUUAUUGCGAGGAGUCUAAGUAAACUCCCUAAAAUAUAUAUUAUGUGUAAGCGAGAGGUCUAAGUAAACCUCAAUGUAGAAGUAAAUAAUAUUUUUUCGAUUUUCUGCAAUUGAACCUAUGAAACUUAAUGACGAAUGCUAAGAGGUUAGUCUUAGUCCUCUUCGAGGAUGACACCAUCGGUUACUUCUAAGGGGUCCUUCCCGAAUGUGAAAAACUUGGUAUCAGAGCAUGAGGUUAAAUAUCUUUAGGAUUUUUGUCUCAUUAAACCGCAUCUAUGUAGAAUCUUGUUCAUAAUUGUGAAGCGUGCCACAAUUCUGAGCAAGAAGCUAUGUGAUGCUUAGGAAAUUCUUAUUUUCUUGGAAAUCCAAUGUAGUACCUCUAAAGUCUAAUUUAUUUGUACUUUCACCUACACCUUGUAUUAUGGUUAUGAAUACUAGAAGGAUAGCUAAACGAAGACUUGAUCAAGAUAUUUCAAACGCGGAUUUCCUCCCUGUGGCAAUAAAUAUCCUCCUUUUGAAAAAGUUUCUAAUGAUGAUCAAGCUCCGGCCAAUCCUCGGCCAUGACAGAUGGUGACAUAAGGGCAGCUUUUAUCCAAAUGGCCCAAGCCAUUACUACCCAAGAACAAUUCGUCACUACUCAAUCUCAAGCCAUGACGGCCCAAGCUAAUCGAGAGGUGGUACCCUGAGGAAACAACAUAUUAGCACCAUGGCCUCCCAUUUGAGAGAUUUCACAAGAAUGAGUCCACCUAUUUUUAUGGGUCCAAAGUGGAUAAGACCCCAAAGAUUUCAUUGAUGAAGUCUACAAAAUCCUCAAUUCUAUGGUGUUGACCUAUAGGGUUACUUAUGUUGAACUAGUAGAAUUGGGUAUGGUUGAUUUUGAUGUAAUUUUGGGUAUGGAUUGGUUACAUGCUUGAUUUGAUUCCAUAGAUUGUAGAACAAGGGUUGUGAAGUUUAACUUUCCUAAUGAACCCGUCUUACAGUUGAAGGGGGGAAAUUUUAUUCAUAGAGUUCAUAUCAUUUCCUGUUUAAAAAUAUGUAAGAUGAUCUAUAACAGGUGUUUAUUAUAUAUUGUAAGAUUCAAAGAUUUAGUGUUCGAAAUUCCUCUCAUUGAGUCGGUCCUUGUAGUAGAGGAAUUUCUAAAGGUCUUUCCUAAGGAUAUUCCUGGUAUUCCUCCCGAAUAGGAAAUUUUUUUUGGUAUCGACUUGUUACCGGAUAUAAAUCCUAUUUAAAUUUCUCCUUAUCGGAUGGCUCCGGCCGAAUUGAAAGAGUUGAAGGCUUAACUCAAAUAUUUACUUGACAAGUGUUUCAUUCGGCCUAGUAUUUCUGCAUGGGGUGCUCUGGUAUUGUUUGUGAAAAAGAAGGAUGGGUCCCUUAGGAUGUGUAUCGAUUACCAUAAACUCAACAAAGUCACAAUCAAGAACAAGUAUCCUCUCUCGGAUUUGAUGAUUUAUUUGAUCAACUCCUAGGUGCAAGUUACUUUUCCAAGAUCGACUUAACAUUGGGAUAUCACUAACUUAGGAUGAGUAAGGCAUUCCCAAGAUGGCUUAUCGAACUAGAUAUGGUCAUUAAAUUUCUUGCAAUGUCAUUUUGUCUCACUAAAGCCCUUGUGGCGUUUGUGGAUCUCAUGAAUAAUGUAUUGCAAAACUAUCUUGAUGUAUUAGUAAUUGUCUUUAUUGUUGAUAAAUGUAUUAUAAGAGUGAGAGUGAUCAUAUGGGGCAUUUAAGGGUUGUUUUACAAGUUCUUAAGGAGCAUCAACUCUUUGCCAAAUAUGCAAGUGUGAUUUCCGGUUGAGGGCGGUAGCUUUCUUGGUCAUAUUAUCUCAAGUGAUGGUGUACAGGUUGAUCCAAGGAAGACCGGAGCGGUGAAAAUUUGUCCUUUAGCUUUGGUCCUACGGAUAUUAGGUGUUUCUUAGGCCUAGUCGGUUAUUAUAGAAGGUUUAUCAAUGGGUUUGCAUCCAUUGCUUCCCUUUUGACAAUUUUGACUCAAAAGAAUGUAAAAAUGGAGUGGUAGGAAGCAUGUGAGAGAAGCUUCCAAGUGUUAAAUGAUAGGCUUACCUCCUCUACGGUGUUGACAUUACCGGAGGGUACCAAGGGCUUCGUAGUUUAUUGUGAUGCAUAUCGAGUUGGGUUAGGGUGUGUUCUUAUGCAACAUGGAAAAGUUAUAGCUUAUGAUUCUAGGUAAAUCAAUAUUCAUGAGAAGAAUUGUCCGACUCAUGACAGUUAGCGGUCGUGGUAUUUGCCUUGAAAUUAUAGAGGCAUUAUCUCUAUGGGGUUUAUGUUUAUAUGAAUACGGACCACAAAAGUCUUCAAUAUAUGUUCACUCAAAAAGAGUGUAAUCAUCGGCAAAGAAGAUGGUUAGAGUUUUUGAAGGACUAUGACAUGACUGUUCUCUAUCAACCCGACAAAGCUAAUAUGGUAGAGGAUACUCUAAGUUAUUUUUCCAUUGGAAGUGUAUCCCAUGUGGAAGAAGCCAAGAGAAACCUAGUGAGGGAUGUUCAUAGGUUGGCACGUCUAGGGGUUCGAAUUGAAGAUUCUCCUAAUGGUGGUGUUAUGGUACAUCUUAAUUCUUAGUCAUCUUUAGUGGUUGAGGUGAAGUCUAAGCAACACCUUGAUCCAUUAUUGAUGGAGUUGAAACAAUCAGUCUUGGAAUGAGGAAUGAGUCAUUAUCCCAAGGGGGGAUGGUACUCUUAGGUACCAAGGGAGAUUGAGAUUGUGUUUGCCCAAUAUUGAUGAUUUGAGAAAUUGGAUUCUUGAGGAAGCUUAUGGAUUCAUUGUUGUUCUACUAAGAAGUAUUAUGAUCAUAGAGAAAUGUUUUCGUGGGAUGGCUUAAAAAGAGACAUUGUUGAAUUUGUUGCAAAGUUUCCUGAUUGCCAACAAGUGAAAGUCGAUCACCAAAAGUUGGGGGGUUUACUACAAGAAUCCAAUUUCCUUCUUGGAAGUGGGAAGAUGUUAACAUGGAUUUCAUAGUUUGGUUUCCUCAGACUAGAAGGUAAUAUGAUUCUAUAUGGGUGGUCGUGGAUAGAUUGACGAAGUCCACUCAUUUUAUUCUUGUUAAGUCCACUUAUUCAGCGGUAGAUAAUGCAAGAAUCUAUAUUGAAAAGAUAGUCAAUCUUCAUGGGGUUCCUUUGUCCAUCAUAUCAGAUAGAGAUGUUCAAUUCACAUCUAGAUUUUGGAGGUCAUUUCUAAUAAGCUUGGGUACUUAAGUGAAGUUAAGAGCCACUUUUCAUCCUCAAACGGAUAGUCAUGCGAAUCAUACCAUUCAAACUCUUGACGAUAUGCUUAGAUCUUGUAUCAUUGGCAUAAAGGGAAAUUGGGAUGAGCACUUUCCUUUGGUGGAGUUCUCAUAGAAUAAUAGUUGUCAUUCAUCCAUAUCUAUGGCUCCUUUUGAAGCUUUUCAUGGUAGGAGGUGUAGAUCUUCUAUUAGAUGGUUUGAGGUUGGCGAGUAUUCGCUUCUUUGUCCCGACUUGAUCUACAAGACCUGAGAGAAAGUUCAUAUCAUAAGGAACCAUUUGCAAAUACCCUAUAGUCACCAAAAGUCUUAUGUCUAUCAUAGGAGAAGAGACCUUGAAUUUGAAGAAAGUGAUAUGGUGUAUUUGAAAAUUUCACCCAUGAAAGGGGUGGUUUGAUUUGGAAAGAAGGGAAACUUAAGUCCUCGUUAUGUAGGUCCUUAUUAAAUUUGGCAAAGGGUUGGCAAGUUUGCGUAUGAGUUGAACCUCCCGAGUGAACUAUCUUCAGUUCAUCCGAUUUUCCAUGUAUCCAUGCUUAAGAAGUGCAUUGAUAACCCCGAGUACAUUCUUCCUAUCGAAGGUCUUGGUGUGAAAGAGAACCUCUCCUACAAGCCUUGAUCUCAAGUGAAGAGGUUGAGGGACAAAGAGGUGGCCUCCGUAAAAGUGUUAUGGAGAAACCACCUAGUUAAGGGAGCAACAUGGGAGGUCAAGGACCACAUGAAGUCCCAUUAUCCUCAUCUCUUUUCUAAUUAAGGUUAGUUGUUCCUAAUAAUAAUAAAAUAACGAAUAAAUUUAAUUUAUCUUAUUUUGGAAAGAUGUGCAUAUUUAUGAUAAAGGUUUCGCUAAACGGAAGAUUCAUAUAAAAAUGCUCGUUUACUUGAUUUGCAAUCAUUUUUGUAAUUGGUAUAUUGUUGCCUAUGUGAAAUGAUAUUGAUCAUGAUAACAUGUUUUGAAAGGAAUUUUGGCAUAAGUGAAUCUAUGUGUUGUCUUAAGCUCAUGUUAUUAUUGAGAGGGAAAUUCCUCAUAAUGUGUUAUUAAAUGUUGAGCUCUUAUAUAUUGUGAUUUGAGUUGCUAUGUGUAAUGCCAUAUUAUGUGUUGAAUGGAGUCGUGAAGUACUCCUUUUAGUUGUAUCUCAUUACAUACAUGUUGUUUGUUUGAGUCAUAUUCUCCUUUCAGAAGAUUUUGUGUCAUUCGGGGACGAAUGUUCCUAAGGAGGGAUACUGUAACACUCAAAAGUCUAUGAGCUAAGAGAGUUACUCACAUGUUCAAACAAACAUUUAAACAAUGUUUCUAAGACUAAAAUAUUGUUAGUAAGCUAUUUAGGAAGUUUUAGAGUUAAGACGUCAAGAAACGUCCAUGACGUCUAGAAGCUAGUCAAAUAUAACUAGUGAAACGUCCUUAGGUUUUGCAUAGGGUUAGAGGUGUUGUACGAGGUCUAAAACUUGUAAAAUUACUUUAAAUAGAUAAAACCAUGUAUUUAGGGUUGAAACAUCAAGGUCCGACCCCCCAUCGGUUGCCUUAGGGGUCCACGAAGGGACCCCAAACUUGUAUUGGCAAGCUGCCUAAGCAGCAGCCAAAUUACACAUAGGAGUGUGUCCGCGUUGCUGUCUUGGAGGGAUUUUGGUCAAAAGUCAAGUCUGCGUCGUGGGUAGGUUCCGGAAUCCACUGUAUCAAAUAAUAAAUUAGAAAAUUAUGAGGGAAUAGCUCCGCGCCGCAGACUUGUUCCCCGACGAAAAUAUGAAAUUUUGAAUUCAAGUUUGACUUCAUUAAAUGUUCAACAUAAGUUAGGGGUAUUUUGGGUAUUUCAUGGGAGGUCUAUAUAUUGAUUUUAAUCAGUUUUCCUCACAUUUUACUCACUCAAAACCCAAAAGCUCUCACCUCUCUCUACUUUCUCUCUCUAUUCAACCUCCAUUAAAGGAAGAAGAAAGCUUGAAAAAGUAGGAUCAUUUCUCUAGUAUUUCACUUGAAUUUUGUGGAUCCAUAUUCAUUAAGGUAUGGGUUCUUCACUGUAGGGAUUCCUUUCUCCAAGUGGUCCUCUCAAAUUUGAUAUCUUAAUCACCGAAUUCCAUGGUUAUUUCUAUUCUAAUGGGUUUUCUUCUAAACUUCAAAUCGAUGGUUGAUUAUGAUUUAUUAUGACUAAUUAACUGUAUAUUGUUGGGUAAUUGAUGUUAAUUUAUGGAAUUUCAUGUAUAUCAUGUCCUUUACUCAAAUUACCCAAGUCAUUGAUCUUGCUUAUGAAUUGAUGUGAAUUGAAGAAUGUAUUGAUUGUUAGAGUUGUUUUAUCUAUUAUAAUUCAUUCAUGGACUGCCUAAGGUAAUGUAUUGUUUGGAUUGGAUCUAUUUCUUGAAGAAUUCAUGAUGAACCCUUUCCCUCUAACCCUAGGUAAUUAAUUGAAGUUAAUUGGGAUAGUGAUGAUGCAAUUGACUUCACUAUUGUGUUAAUUACUAUUGUGUGAUGAUACUACAACCAGUAUUGGGUUGAAUUGGAUGGUUGAUUGUAAAACCUUGAUGAUCUCUUGUGUAGGAGAUUGGGUUAAGUAUUGUGAUCUCGAUCCUUUACUUCAAUUAUGAUUACUUGUGUUUAGUGAUGAAGUUGUAUUGAAGUAUACCUCAUAAUAAGAUUGAUUAGGGUUUUGUAUGAUGUUGAAUUAGAAUUUCUUGAAUUAUGACUUGUGAGUUGUUGUCUAAGAUUUAAUGAUAUGUGAUUAUCUAAUGUGCUAACCUCACAUGUAAAUUGUAAUGACAAUACUCAAGCAAUUCCUAUUGAGCUAUGUUAAUGACUAUAUAAAGGGUAUACCUUAUGACCUAAACUAAGCUAUGAUGAUUAAUAAAGGCUUAAAGACAUUUCAAAAUGAGCUCUAUAUUAUCACCGAGUGAACUUGAAGAUGAGGGGUGGCUCCUUCCCAAAGAGGAAAGGUAGGGUUCACAAUAGUACUCACCGGGUGGAUAGCCUCACAGCCCAAAAAGGUCAUAGAGUGACAUUUCCAUGACAGACCCCAAUCUCCAUAACUAUGUUGUCACCAUAGGAAUACUAGCUUGUGGAUCCACCUAGAUUAUAUUUUCAUGCUUGGUAAUACUUUGGCCGGUAGAUCACCUUACAUCGGUGUAAGGUGUUACAACACCGGGUUCCACACUUAGCUCUUCUGGUCUAUGCCUGUUAAGGCAUGUUUUCCCGAAAGUAAAAGGAAAGAAUGAAGUAAACACUAACUAGGGUGACUUAAGAGGUUUGGCUUAGCCUAGGUAGGGAUAUAGGACUCUGCCUAGGCUUUGCACUAGUUUGCCUUGAGGGAUGCCUUAGGAGGUUGUUCUUAUGUUCUUAUUAUGUUAUAAAGGGACCAUUAUGUAUAUGUUGACUCAACAUGUUAUUGAUUCUAUGUGAUGUUAUUUUCACUUAUGAACAUGUUGUUGGUCUAUAUUGCUAAAGUAUGAGGAGGAUUACUCUUGAUGCUAUGUUAUGUUAAGUUAGGCAGUGCUUAUGGUCCUUUGUUUGGUUUACUUGAUUGGGUAGGGUUAUGGGGCUUUACUUGGUGAUACGCUCAAACUUACUUCUCCAAUAAGAAGUAAAGCGGUCGUGUCAAGUAAAUAACCCAACUGUGAGGUUGGGAUCGUUCCCACGAGGAAAAUAGUUUAGACUUAACUUCAAUCUAUUAUUACUACGGUUCAGUCAAUUACUUCCUUGGAAAGCAAAACCAAUAAAAAGGGGGGUUUCUAUUUCUAAAUGAAUGACAGUAAAUAACGAAAUUGAAAGAGACACUUAACACCUUCGAAUGUUGGAGUUUAAUCAACUAAUCAAAGUAACUAGGGUUUACGUGUUCCCCACAGGUUCAUAACUUGAUAAUUCUAACUAUAACAAUUCUUUCCUAGUAUCUUGCAUGCAAAGUGAUAAAUUAUGUGUUUCUAAAUCCUUGGUCCGGCAUCUAGAAAAUUUCACUUCGCACCUUGGUUCGGCUACGUGUGUUUCUAUUCUAACCCUUAUCUUUACCUUAUACUAAGCGUCGUAUUUGAUAUUUGACUAAGUAUUACCUCGUACCAAUCAAUACUAGCCUAUUAGAUAGUAUACACUAAAUCUAUGUUGAUAAUUCUUUUCCUAUUAUCUACUUCCUUGGUCCGGCAAGUAGCAUUAAGGUGAGUUCUAACAUUGGCCAUCCGUUAAAAAGACUUCUAAGCGAAAGAAUUAUUAAUACAUGCAAGACACUAUUCUAGAAUUGUUAUUUUAGUUAGGUUUUACCUCAUUAUUUGCCUAUGGUUCCCACAACCCUAGUUAUGGAGUUCAGUUACCCAUAGUCAUAAUAACAAUAUUCAAAUAUAUUAUAUAAGAAUUCAUGUACUUACUUCAAUGAGAAAGAGUAAAAUCCAAAAGUUUGCUUGAUUAAUCAAAACACUUAAACUCUUGGAAUAUGGGUACUGGGACUACUUCUCUGAACUUCAUGACGAACCUGCAGGACGGACCGUCAUAGACACGACGGACCUUCAUGGACUUCAUAACCCCACACUUGGUCAGACUUCCCCAUCUUCCUUUAGCAGCUUCCCUACGUUGCCACCUACGGACCGUCACAAGCAUGACCGACUGUCACAAGCUCCGUAGGUGGUCUCUUCUACAUUUCUUCGCUCAAAACCUACGCAUUCAUCUUUGAACAGAUUUCCUGCAAAUAAGGAGAAACUUAUAUAAAAAUUAGCACAAAAAGGCUAUUGGACACACUAAACUUAAGGAAAAAGAAUUAAUAAUACCGUGAAACCACGGUAUAUCACUUGGUCAUUUCACUUGUAGGAUAAAUAAUGGGUUAUGGGUAAAUGUCUUGAUUAUAUUUCAUGUUACGAACUCUUAUAUAGUGUUAUAUAUGGUCUUGACUUAAGAGUAAUGUGUUUAUUGACUUGUAUAGGUUCUUGGAUGUGCAUAAGUUUUAAAGUAAAUUAGCACAUUUUGAACAAAUGUUCUCUCUACCAUGAUUUGAAUUUUUCUAUGUGCAUAUACUCAUACUUAAUACAAGUGUGUACUAACCCAUGAGUUAUGUUUUACUACUAAAUUUAGGGUCCGGCCAUUGAUUUUAUAGAAGGACUUUGAAGAUUACUUAGAUAUUCCGCAAGUGUUCAGUAGGUCCUCACUUUUCGAGGACGAUGUUAUUACCAAGAUUUUGAUGUUGUUCUAGUUAUAAGACUUUUUGUUCUUUCCUUUUCACUUGGAGACGAUUGAUAUAUAAGCCUAUAUGAGGCUCUUUGUUGUAAUGAAGUACGGGUUAAGCCCAAUUGUUGUAUUCGUUUUACAUGGUUCUAAUAUGUGGCAUAUGAGAUUAUGUUCCUAUACUAUGUAUGUGAAAUAAAAGUAGACACCUAUAUAGUGCUUCCCAUCGCGAGGAGUCUAAGCAAUCUCCCUAAAUAAAUAUUAUGUGCAAGCAAGAGGUCUAAAUAAAUCUCAAUGUAGAAGUAAAUAAAAAGUUUAAUUUUUCUGCAAUUUAACCUAGGAAAUGUAAUUACGAAUGUUAAGAGGUUAGUCUUAGUACUCCUCAAGGAUGACGACACCAAUUACUUCAAGGGGGUGCUCCCCGGAUUUGACAAAAAACACAUAAAACAUGCCAAGACACACAUGCACGUCUCAAGGCUAACUUCAUAACGUCAUCAGACGUUCUUGGACGUUUGACCUCCAAAUGACUUCAAACCAAGCACGCAUACUAUAAAACACUUAAUUAACACAUUUUUAACACUUUUAGUCACAUGUGAGCCUCUAGGCACCUUAAUUUAUUUUGAGGGUUCUUACACUGUAGAUCCUUUACUCACAAACUAUGAUAAAGACAUCCCUUAGAAAUCAACAUAUAAGCUUUAAGACAUGAAAUGAUUCGAAUUUUUGAGCUAAGUUCCCCCCUUCCAUUCUAAAAUGGGUUAAUUUUGGAAAUAGAAACUUUACUACCUGAGUUCUACAAUCGAUGGAAGCAUAACAAGAAUAGCAUAUCCAUCCCCAAAAUGACAUCAAAGUCUAACAUAUCAAAUUCUACAAAAUCAACCAAUGUGAAUCUAUUGGGUAGUUAAAUGGGACGACCCCUAAGGACUCUUUUAGCAACUAUGGAAUCACCCACUGAGGUAGAAACCGAAGAGGGCUCAUCUAAGACAUCGGGAAGCAUAUCAAAUCUCAUAUACACUAAAGGAGUUACAAAAUACAAGGUGACACCAAGAUCAAACAGUGCAUAAACACUAAUUGAAAAUACUUGCAACAAGUUGUUAACAAUAUCCAGAGAGCUCUCUUGAUCACCUCGUGUUUGAAGAGCAUAGAAGUGAUUCUCUUGGGAGCAUCAUAGUAUGGAGCAUAAGUGGGAGAUUGGGUACCUUCAAUACCUUUGGACGCAUGGAUUGGAAAAUCCUUCAAUUGGUGGACACUUUUCCCACAUCCAUAGCAAACGCCCAUACCGGCAACACACUUCCUCUAAGGUCCCUCAAAAUGAGUUAAGGUACGUAGAGCCUCACAUGUGCCUAAUAUUUUAGUAAUGUGUUAACUAAGUGUUUUGCUGUAUGCAUACUUGAUUUGAAGCGACUUGGAGGUCAAACGUCUAAGAACGUCUGGUGACAUUCGAAAGUUAGCCUUGAGACGUGCUAGUGUGUUCAAGUGCGCCCUUGCAUGUUUUACGUGUAGAUUGGCCCUACACUUGUUUGCAUGAGUGUUGUGAGUCAAAUUCAAGGAACGUGUUAGACUAAAUGCUAUAGGACCCUUGUUUGAUGUUGGUUGAAGGUGCUUGCAAUAGGCAAGCAAAAAUGGGCAUUCUUAACCAAAGAUCCAAGGUUACCCCAUGAUUGGAAAGUAACUUCCUCAACUUUUACGGACCACUCCAUGGCCAGUAGUGCUGAGCACAACUCAUGAAGGUGGUUGUGAAAAGGAGUUGGUAGCAUGUGAGGCAAGGCUACUGGCCAAGGUACUACCCCAACUUCCACGAGCCACUUCUCGGCCAUUUUUCAUGACCACUGCUCGUGAAGAUGGUCGUGGAAGGUCCUUCUCCAUGGGGUUCUUUGCAAGGCCAACAAUUCUACUGCCUAAUGGACAACGGAUCAUAGCACUUGGUGGUGAACCACCUUCAUGGGCAAUGAAGGUGGUCGUGGUCCCUGGCAGGACUACCUUAAGUUGGUGAUUUUACAUAAAUUAAUUUCAAUCAUUUAUUAUUGGGGUUGAUUUUUAAUGUUUUAUACAUUAAAUAUAAAUAGUUUAAGGUCAGUUAACAAGUAAUAAGAGCAGUAUUUCAAAACCCCAAAGUUCUUCUCUCUAACUUAAAGAAGAAGAAGGAAGCCAUGGAAGUUGGAGUUGAAGGUUUUUCUAAGUUCUAUUCUACAAUUUCAUGGGCUAUUUGUCAAUUAAAGUAUGAUGAUACUUCAUCCUUAGUUAACUAUGCAUCUAAGGAGUUCCUUCAAAAGGUUUUAAAUAAGAUUUCAUGAUCAAAAUUCCCAAUAUCAAUCUAGCCAUGGGUUCAUUGUCAAAGUGAUUUCAAAAGCAUUCUAAUGAUGACUACAUGAUUAAUUACUGAUUUUAUGAUGAAUUUCAAUCCAAUUUCAUGAAGAACCUAUGAUCCUCCUAAUUUCUCAAAUUGGCCUAUAAUGUGGGCCGUGUGAUCUUCAGUCUACGUUAACUGAAUUGUGAUUAGAUUAAAUUGAAUUUUCCAAUACUAUUGUAAUUGGUGUUAAUUGAAUAUGAAUUGUGGGGGAAUGAUCUAAGGUGAUCAUAGUUUGGAGAACUUGGUGAGUUGAUCUAUAAUCUUCUACUUCCUAUAAAAUUUAUGUAGUGUACAUAAUGUGAUCUUUAUCUUAUGAUAGUUUAGUUAUGAUUUCAAUUAUGUUAAUGUACUUUUAACUACGGCCCUAUAUAUGAAUUAAUGAUGAAUUAUGAGUAUUGAUCAAUGAUGAUCAAAGCUUGUGUGGAUUGGUAAGAUUGCUAUAUUUCUAUACUUUUCCAUAAAAUUAUUAAUUGAAUUGGCCUUGUAUGGCAUUGUGUGGUAUGAUACAUUAUGGUGGUGGUGUUUACUUACUCGUCAGUCUAUAUGUGAUGUGAUCUUGUCCUUGAAGGCAAUUGUGUUAUGAAGUGUGGCUAUGAUGUUCACAUAUAUGAAGUAGCAUGCCUAUUCUCCCAAUCUAGUAUCAUGUUCUAGGUAUUGAUGAUGUCUUCUAUAAUUGAAUGAAUUUUGUCAGGGUUUGAUUUAGGUACUUCCAUUGAUGAGGUAAUAAUGGUGAAUGAACUCUACCUAUAUACAACUACAUGGAUGUGUGAAUGUAGUCAAGGUUAGGAGUCUUGGAUGCAAAUGUUGAAUUGUCUUGUCUCCUAUGCUAUGCUUGAAUGUGCAAUGUGGUCUUAAGAGGGUGGGUGCAUCAUUAUGAUGUUUCUAGUCAUUACGUGAUCAUGUUGUGCAAUGUACACACACACCUCAUGCAUGCUUCUAAAUAGUAUACGUUCAUGGUGUCUAAUGAAAGGAUAAUACUCUUGUGCACUAAUGUAUAUUAUUAUACAUAAAAAGUAUAUGUCCAUGAAGCAUCAUGUGUAUAUUAACAAGUAUGACUUGAUAGGUUUACUAGGCAAGGGUAUAGGACUUUGCCUAUAUAUUGCACAUGUCUACCUUGAUAGAAUAACUCCUAGUGUGGUAUGUCUAUGUACAUAAAUAUGAAUGCAUGUCUAAGCUAUAAACAUGAAAAUAUUUACAUUAUGAUGGCAAGAGUAUGAUUUGAUGAAGUAUGAGCAUGUAGUGUCUAAAUGUGUUUAUGUGAAAGGUCUUCUCAUGUAAGUACACAUACAAACAAAUGAAUGUAAAUAAUGAAGCAUGUAUGAGGAUCUAGUAAAGACGGAGUCUCAUGAGAGGUAUUUAAAAUUGUACUGUAAACUAGGUUGUGCUUUAAUAUGCUAUGUCCAUGUGAAAGGUGUACUCACAUGAAUUAGGUUGAUGGGAGGACAUUCUAAUCUAUAACCUAUGAGCUAAUCAUAUGAGGAGUUAGACCUCCUAAAGUUAUUUCAUGAAGUGAAGUUAAUAAAGACUUUUCACUUAAGGGAAGUUUGCUUAGCAUGGAGUGAACUUGAUGACGAGGGGUGCCCUUCCCCUAUGAGGAAAAGCUUGUUAACCAUAGCUCUCACGAGGUGGAUGACUAAAAUGCCAAAAAGACAUAAAGAGGGUUUCCAUGUAUACCUCUAAGUUUCCAUAACUAUGUUUCCCCAUCGGACCUAGCUAGUGGAUCCACCUAAAAUGCUAGAAUUAUACUCAUAUCUUACCUUGACAAGUGAGAUACCCUCUUCUUGUGUGAGGGGAUGAUACCAAAUUCCAUAUUUGAAUUACAUGGUAUUAUUGUCGAUUAAAGAUAGGAUUUCCCUAAUGUAAAAUGGAUAAUGGAAGUAAAGUAAUGAACCCUAACUAGGAUUACCUAAGGGAAGUUUGUUAGUAUAGAUAAGGUUAUAGGACAUUACCUAUGAAUUGAACAAGUAGCUCUUGAAGGGAGUUCUAGGAAGGUGUAAAAUAUGCAUAUGUAUAUGUUUAUGUUUUUUAUGCAUGACAUUUUAGUGUUGUCUACUUGUUAUGGUAAUAUGCAUGUAUGAUUCCUAUUGAGUCUAUCUGAUGAGGUCUUACUUAAUAUGCAUAAUGUUGGUCUUAUUGUCUAUAUGAUGAAGGUCCUACUUGAUAUGCAUGUAUUUGACUAAAGUAUCAUGUUAGGUUUACUAAGUAUGUGUGAGAUUAUAUGGCUUCACAUGUACAUUGAACUAGUAAGCUUAGAUUGGGAUUAUGAGUAAAGGUCUUAAGAUGUUUUAUGUGAAGAAAAGUGAAGCUAAGAUAUGCUAAUGUCGACUAUUGUCUUAUUAUGAUAGUGUUGGAAGUCUUGACUUAUGUGAUGCCUUGAAAUGAGUCUUUUCUGUGGUUCAUGAGGUAUAUUAGGUCAAACUGGAGUGUGUGUUUUAUGUUAUAAUAUGCUUCUAUGAAUGUGUAUGUUUGAGUAAAUGAAGGUUAUGUGAAUUUUCACCUUGGUAGCUUUAAGGUGAUGCUUGAGUGUGGUAAGUGGAAUGGGAUACUAUUCAUGCGUUGCAGCAAGCAUCGCUAGAGAGUUACUUAAAGGGGUUAAUGAAUUAAAGAAAAAGGAGGUUGUUGUGAAGUAAUGGUAAAUGUGCCUUUCAUUUAAUAUGUGGCCUUAUGUGAUGUUGUGACUAUUGUAUAUGCCUAUAUGAGCAAAAGAACUAGAGGUACUUAUUGUAUUAAUGUUCAUGAAGUUUUAUCAAAAGGCAUGAGGCAUGGUUUAAACGUAAAAUGUCCUCUUUAAAUGCAUGUUUUUGCAUGGUUUCCACACUUAGUGCAUUAUUGUACUAACACCAUUCUUAUUCACCUUUUUAGACAAUGUUUUGGUCAUCGAUGCUUAAAAGAUGUCUCCAAUGUGAAAGGUUUGAUAUGUGUUUCGAAGCUCAAGGAAGAUGUCCUUACAAUUCAAGGAUUCCCUACAUCAUGUUAUUGUCCAAGUUAUGUAAUAGAUUAGUAGUUAUUCUAUGUUGUAAAGGUCGUGUCCCUGUUCUAUUCUAAUGAUGUUGAGACUAAGAUGAAAAAAGAAACUUAGAGUCUAUAGCUAUGUAUUAUGACUUAUAGUUUUUAUAUAUAUGAAGUGAUAUUUCUAUCAUAUGAUGUGCGAUGAAAGUUUUAAAUUUUCCGCUAAAUUUACCUAUGAUAAUGCGAUGAAUAAUGACUAUGGGCUUGUAAAAGACCUUCGAGAGGUCAAGUAUUCCAUGUUACAUCUAGGGGGUGCUCCUUGGUCGUAACAAGUGCGGUAUGAGAGUAUCAGGUUAUAAAAGUGGUUUUAGCUUCCAAAGUCUCAUAUUGCCACAUCUAGUAGAGUCUCGUUCAUCGGUGGGGAGUCGCAACACAUCUAUGAGCGAGAGGCUAUAGGAUGAUAUAGUUUCCCUUUUUCACUGUUCUCAUGUCGUUCUAUAGAACUUAACUCUAUAAGAUAUGUAUAUUAUGUUUUCUACCCAAUGGUCUUUUAGAUGUGAUUGCUUGGAUGAGAUGGUAUCUCUAUUCUUGAAGGAGAAAAGGUGAGUUUUGAUACUUAUCUUGGUUUUAUUGUUUGAUGAGUAUGUAUGAAGGUCCAUUUGACAUGAGUAGAUAUGGUUCCAUUUAUGGGGCUAUACAUAUGAUUUAUGAGAAAUGACAUGUUAUGUGAAGAUUUAUUAUAUGGUGUGGUUAUGGUUUGUUAAGGUUUGAUAUGGUCAAUUAAGUUCCUUUACGAAAUGAAAGUUGUUGUAUGGUUUUGCAAGAUGAUAGUGUAAUGGUAUGGUUUGAACUUUAAAUGUUUAGUAACUAGCCAAAGAUGCAUUGACUUUAAAUAUGAGAAAUGGUUCAAUGUUGUCUUUUAUGUGCAUGGUUCUUCAUAGUUGACUUGUAUGGAUUGGAGUCUUUUGUGUAGGCUUGAUCCUAGAAGUGAAGGCAGUGUGCCUACAUUUUUAGGUGUUAAUGUGGGUUGAAAUAACCUAGAAGUUACCUUACCCUAGUGAUGAAAAAAAAAAACAUGCCUUAUGGCUAAGUCUCCUCUAUUGUUUUCCCUAAGGUUUUCAUGACCUUUGGUAUUCAUGUUGUAGUUGAGACCUUCUGUGGUUGAGGAUAUGACCUAACUUGAUUGUUAUAGAUUUCCUUUAGGAGUUGAUAUUAUAGGAAUGAUGAUGAUUGAGGUAGUACCCCUUAAUGAUUGAGUUAGUAGGCUCCUUAAUAAGAGAUUAGAAGUGAAACCCUCAAUGAUGUUAAACAUUCUUAUGUAAGGAAUAUAUAGGUGGGUUUUGACUUGCCUUGUCCUUGGUUCUUAAGGGCAUGGUGUGAUUAGCCUUACCCCAUGUGUGGGAUAAUGUGCCUAGAUGGUGAGGCUUUUGAAUUCCUUAAUGUUCUUAUGAUUGAGUUCCCUUGAACUUCUUUAAGUUGAGAAUCUCUUCUAGGUGAUGAUAGAGGGUGUGUAUAAGUUUAGAUCCCAAUAGAAUGAUGUUGUACUUAGUUCCUAAAGUUUGUAAGUUAAGGUUCUUAUAAAGUAGAGACAAGCUGCUCUUAAAUGGAUUUACCCUAAGUGGGGAAUGAAGAGUUGAGUAGUAAGGUGGUAGAUAUCCUUUAUAUUUUCCUUCUAUCCUUAAGCAAGCUUGAAACCAAAGAGUUACUAGUAGCUUGUUCAUGAUGGGAUCUUGCACAUAAGUAUGAGUUGCAUGUUCUCCAUAUAAUGUGCAUGUCUUAAACAACACUAUGUUAAUCAUAUUUUGAAGGUUCUAAAUUGCAUGAAAAAAGAUUUUUGAUCAAAUUCGUGUUUUCUCGUGUUGAUUGUGCAUCUUGAUAUGUUGGUUGUGCAUUUAACUUCAUGAGAUGAUGUAAGGAGCAUACUUGAUGUCACUUUUAAGGUUCCUUCUUUUAAGCCUUUAAUGGAAAUUUGAGUCUCCUUUAAAUGAAAAAUGAUGAGCCUCUUCAAAAUAUGUAAUCUUUAUGACUUGGGAAGUGUUAAUGUAGGCUCACUUUUGAUGUGUGCCUAUAAUUUGUAUGAAAUUUCCCUAAAGGAUGCAUGUUUGUGGAAGCUAGUAUUAUGCUAGAAAGUGAAACUAUGUGAAAUGACUUCCUAUUGUUGUGAUGUGUUGUGUGAUUUACUAUUUUGACUUUACUAGGAAGAAAGUAUGAACAUGCUUUGGUGAAAAAGUUGAAAAGUUCUCAUUUAAGUUAAUUGACCUUUGUGCAUGGCUUGUGUAUGAACUCAAGAAGACAUUUAAGUUUGUUGAAGGAAAAAAUAUUCCUCCUCAAACAUAACUAAGCAUGGUAAGUUUGAGUAUGGCAUUCAUUGAACUAUGUCUAAAUUAUAAGGAUCCAUGUUGAUCAACUUGAUUCGAGUCUAUGUGCAUUGAAGUAUGAGUUGCUUGUGUGCUUCUUGAGUGAUGUUGAAUCUGCCUAAUUGUGUCUAAAAGGUUGUUGCAUGAUGAUCUCUUCAUAAAAUGAGAAGUAAAGACCAUGUUAUGAUUAGGAGAAGGAUGUUCCUCCUAUGAACAUAACAAGAGCCUAUAUGUUUGAUGCAUUUAAAGAUUGAGUGAAUAAAGGUUUUACUUACUUGUGUUGUAUUGAGGUAUAAAUGGUUUGGAGUUGGUGUUUCUUGUAAUUUUGGUCCAUUGACUUCUAUUUAAUGAUGUGUUAAGUGUUGUGAUUUUCUCUAUGGUUCAUUGAGUCCUUAAAAGUGUUUCAAAAAUGUUCCAAGUGUCAUUCGAGGAUGAAUGUUCCCAAGUGGGGGAUAUUGUAAGGUCCCUCAAAAUGAAUUAAGGUACCUAGAGCCUCGCAUGUGCCUAAAAAGAAUAACAAUGUGGUAAUUAAGUGUUUUACUGUAUGCAUACUUGAUUUGAAGUGAUUAGGAGUUCAAUUGUCCGAUGACGUACGAAAGUUACCCUUCAGACGUGCUAGUGAGUUCUAGUGCGACCUUGCAUGUUUUACAUGUAUAUUAGUCCUAGACUUGUUUGAAUGAGUGUAGUGAGUCAACGUCAAGGUACGUGUUACACUAAAGGCUAUAGGACCCUUGUUUGAUGUUUGUUGAAGGUGCUUGACAAGAGCCAAGCCACAAGGGGGCAAGCCUUACAAAAGAGCCAAGGCUACCCAAUGAUUGGAAAUUCACUGCCUCAAAUUUCACAGGCCACUUCAUGGCUAGUGUUGGUGACCACUGCUCAUGAAUGUGGUCUUAUAAAGUAGUUAGUGGCAUGUGAGGCAAGGCAAUUGGCGAAGCUACUGCCCCGACUUCCAUGAGCCACUUCAGGGCCAGUGGUCAUGACCACGGCUCAUGAAGCUAGUCGUGGAAGUGACUUAUCCAUGGGGGGAUUAUCAAGUCAAAGAAGUCUAAUGACUAGUGGACCACGAACCGUUGCCCUUGGACGUGAACUCCCCUUCACGCGCAUUGAAGGAGGCAGUGUUCCCUGACAGGACUACCUUAAGUUGAUGAUUGUAAAUAAAUUGAUCUCAAUCAUUUAUUAAUUGGGGUUGAUUUGAAAUAGUUUAUACAUUAAAUAUAUAUAAUUUAGGGUCUUUUAAAAAUUCAUAAGAUCAUUAUUUUAAAAACCCCAAAAUUCUUCUCUCUAAACCAGGGAAGAAGAAGGAAGCCAUGGAAGUUGGAUUUGAAAGAUUUUCGAGGUUUUCUUCUACAAUUUUAUGGAAUUUUCAUCUAUUAAGUUAUGGUGAUCCUUCAUCCUUAGUUAAUCAUUCAUCUAAGGAGUUAAUUCAAAUGUUUUCAAAUAAGAUUUCAUGACCAAAUUUCCCAAUUCUAAAUCUAGCCAUGGGUUCAUUGUCAAAGUGAUUUCAAAAGCAUCUAAUGAUGAUUACAUGAUUAAUUUCUGAUUUUAUGAUGAAUUUCAAAUCAAUUUAAUGAAGAACCCAAGAUCCUUCUAAUUUCUCAAAUUGGCCUAUAAUGUGGGUCUUGUGAUCUUGAUUCUAUGUCACAUGAAUUCUGAUUAGAUUGUAUUGAAUUUCCUACUACAAUUGUUAUUGGUGUAAAUUGAAUAUGAAUUAUAGAUAAAUGAUCCAAGGUGAUCAUAGUUUGGAGAAAUCAGUUAGUUGAUCUACAUUCUUCUACUUCCUAUAAAUUUAUGAUGUAGUGUGCAUAAUGUGAUCUUGAUCUUACGAUGGUUGAAUUAUAAUUUUGAUUAUGUUAAUGUAAUUUUAGAUACUGCUCUUUGUAUGAAUUAUGAUUUGGGUGAAUUGGUAAGAUUGCUCUAUUUCUCUACUUUUCCAUACAAUUGAUAGUUGAACUGUCCUUGUAUGGAAUUGUGUGGUAUGGUCCAUUUAUGGUGGCGGUGUUUACCUCCUCAUCAUUCUAUAUGUGAUGUGAUCAUGGCCUUGAAGGCCAUUGUGUAAUGAAAUGUGGUUAUGAUGUUCACAUCUAUGAAGUAACAUGCCUAGUCUCUCAAUCUAGUAUCAUGUAGUAGGUAUUGAUAAUAUCUUCUAAAAUUGAAUGAAUUGUUACACUUAGGUUUAGGUGCUUCCAUUGAUGAAAUAAUAAUAGUGAAUGACCCCUACCUAUGUACCCCUACAUGAACGUGUGAUCUUAGUCAAGGUUAGGAGUCUUGGAUGCAAAUUGUGAAGUGUCUUUUCUCCUAUGCUAUAAUGUGGUGUGUGGUCUAUGCUUGAAUGUGCAAUGUGGUCUCAAGAGGGUGGUUGCCUCUGUUAUUUUUCUAGGCAUUAUGUGAUCAUGUUGUCCUAUGUACACAUACACCUCACACAUUAUUACGAGUAGUAUAGGUUCAUGGUGUCUAAUGAAAGGAUAAUUCUCCUGUGCACUAAUGUCUAUUAAUGUGCAUGUAAAGUAUACGCCCCGAAGCAUCAUGUGUAUCUUAACUAGGAUAACUAGAUAGGUGUACUAAUGUAGGAAAGGGUAUGGGACUUUUCCUAGAAGUUGCAUAUGUCUACCUUGAUAAAAUAACUCCUAGGGUGGUAUUUCUAUGUGCAUGAAUAUGAAUGCAUACCUAAGAUAUGAACAUGAAAGUAUAUACAUUAUGAUGUCAAGAGUAUGAUGUGAUGAAGUAUGAGCACGUAGUGUCUAAAUGUGUUUAUGUAAAAUUUACUCAUGUAAGUACACACACACAUAUGAAUGUAUAUAAUGAAGCAUGUAUGAUGAUCUAGUAAAGAGCGAGUUUCUUGAGAGGUAUUCUCAAUUUUAAUCUUAACUAGGUUGUGCUUGAAUAUGUUAUUUCCAUGUGAAAGGUUUUCUCACAUGAAUUAGGUUGAUGGAAGGACAUAUUCAUCUAUAACAUAUGAUCUAAGCAUAUGAGGAGUUAGAACUCAUAAAGUCAUUUUUAUGAAGUAAAUAAGUAAGCCUCUCCAUACCAUACAAGUGCGCGUCGAGCCCAUGCGAAAGGUUUGGUUAAGAUAUGCCAGAUUCCACCAAGUAUACAAAUGGAACCUAACCAUACAUGUCCUCCGAUUAUAUCUUCUAAAUCAUCCACACUAACAAUCCACCCUUCUCCUCCAUAAGGGGAUUUUAGUAAAUAAUCAAAUAUGAUACUUGGGCUAAGGGUCAAGUUGGUAAUUU
rnacentral:lncRNA from 1 species